rnacentral:lncRNA from 1 species
AUAAAUUCUAUCCAACACCAGGAAUAACAUACUUCACUCCAACCAAUCUGGAUUCACAGAAUUUUUGUAAUCACAGACUUCCUCUCUUGAAACACACACACAACUCUCAAUAAACAACAAUCAUAAUCUUCCAUCUAUAAUCGAUCUUCGAAUUACUUCUCACAUAAUUCAAUCACACAGUAUUCUAAUAACAUAAUCAAUAACUCAUAAAUCAAUCUCUGAUUUAUUCCAAAGACUCACUUCUAAGUAUUCAGAAACUAUCCAUUAUUCUUCAAUAACAAAGAAACAAAAAGAGACAGUACCAAGCUUACCUCGGCUCAUGACUAUCAUAGUCUGGCCCCUAGACUAACUUCUAUAACUCUUAUAUACUUACUUGCUAUUCCUAGAUUCUAACCGUAAUCCUAUAAUAACCACUUUUAAUAACUAAGUUAACCAUUUGUCUUUCUGAACUGACUAUUCUAUGGACUAUUAAUCUAUUUUAUCAAUAUCUUAUAAAAAUGAAUUAAUAUCUAUUCUACAAUGUUCCUUUUUCAAUCAUCUGCUAGUAGCUUAUAAUGUUAUUGAGACCUUUCUAGGUGAGUCUUCAUGAUUGCUUGAAGUUUGGCCAUCUUUGUAGCAAACGUCUUUGUCGCUAGAUUUGUUAACUUUAAAGGCUCUAUUAUAUCCAACUUUAAAUGAUGACCAUAGUUUGAAUAGAAUAGCGUUUGCUGCAUAAAUGCUUAGAUUGUGUUCUUAUAUAUAAACUCUACCAAUAACAAGUAAGAAGUCUAAUCGUCUUGUUAAUAAUUGAUAGUGCACGUUAAAUAUUGCUCAAGAAUUUAGUUGGCCGGCUUCGUUUGGCCAUCAAUUUGAAGAUGGAAGGCAGAAAAAAGGUUGAUGUCAACCUUAAGAAUCUUGAAGAAUGCCUUAUAAAAUCUUGAUACAAAUUAUGGCCCACAAUCUAAUACAAUGUCAUCUAACAACUCGUGGUAACAAUAGACAUUUUCAAUAAAGAAUCUUGCCAUCUCUUUACUAAUAAUUAAUUUCUUGAAAGAUAUAAAAUAUGCCAUCUCAAUCAAUCGAUCAAUAACUAUGAAGAUAGUAUCAAAUGAGCUUGAUGGUAGAAGAUUUGUAAUAAAAUCCAUAGAGUUUGAUGACCAUGGUUGUCUUGCAAUAGAAAGGGAUUAAAAAAGUCCAUAUGAUCGAUGUCGAGGGUUUUUUGACCUUGAACAAGUAUCACAUGAUAGUACAAAUUUCUUAAUGUCCUUCCAUAUUUUAGUCUACUAAAAAUUUCUAGACAGAAGUUCUAAGGUCUUAUUGAAUCCAAAAUGUGUGAUUGCAAAGAAGUCAUGGUAUAUUUGAAGAAUGUGAAGGCAAGUUGGUCCUUCAGGAAUGAAUAAAUGUUCUUUAAUAAAUAAGAGGAUGUCUUCAUACUUGAAUUUAUAAGACUCUUGAAGAAGGUUGUUGGCAAGACACUUGAUAUUAAGAACAAGAAGGUUUGUGUUUGAGGCUUUACAAACCUGAUCAAGAAAUGAUAAAUCCAUAGGCAUUGAUACAUUGAUUGCUGAAAGAUCAAAUUGCUCAGGUUUUAACAAGGUUGUUUGUUAUUGAUCAUAUGCUGCCUUCUCUUCUUUUGGUUUAAAGUAAGAACAUCUUACUAAUGCAUCUCAUAAUUCUUAUUGGAUCCCGAGUCGAUAUGUGAUGCAAAAGUCAAAUCGUGAUAAAAAUAUAUUCUAAUGUGCAUGGCAAUGGUUCAAUACUUGAAUUGACAUGAAGUAUUCAAGAUUCUUGUGAUCUGUAUAUAUAGUCACCUAAUGAGAGAUGCCUUCAAAAAAGUGGCACAAGUAGCUCUUUAUCAUGGAUUUUGUAGUUAAUUUCUACUGUUGAGAAUUUUCUAGAAUAGAAUACAAUUGAAUGAACUUUGCUAUCUUUUCCAUAUUGUGACAAAAUUGCUUCCAGUGCAAAGUCUAAGGCAUCGGUCUCCAUAAAAUAGAGCUUGUUGAAAUAUGGAUGUAUCAAAAUUAGAGCUAUUGUGAAAGCAUCUUUUAAGUUUUGAAAAACUUUUUCUACUUUGGAGCCCCAGUCUAGUUUGUCCUUGCAUGUCAACCACAUAAAUGGAGUAGCAAUCUUAGAAUAAUUUUUAACAAAAAUCAUAUAGAAGUUUACAAAUCUAAGAAAACAUUAGACAUCACAUACAAUUUUUGGCUUUGUCCAAUCGAUGAUUGCUUAUAUCUUCUUUAGAUCCAUAAAAAGGCUUUUGUUAGAAAUAAUAUAUCCAACAAAUUUGACUUGAGGUACAUAAAAUACACACUUCUUCAAUUUUACAUAUAGCCUAACACUUCAUAGUUUUUCCAGUAUAAGAUGGAUAUAUUUUUUGUAGUCUUUUGGAUUCUUGGAAAGAUCAAAAUAUCAUUUAAAUAGAUCAUAACAAAGUCAUGAAGAUACUCACAAAAUAUGUCAUUUAUUAAAUGUUGGAAUAUGGCUAGAGCAUUGAUAAGUCCAAAAGACAUGACAUUCUUUUCAAAAUGUCCAUACUUGGUACAAAAUGCUCUCUUUCAUUCAUCUCUCUCCUUAAUACCUACCAAAUUAUAUGCGGUGUCGUAAUGUAAUAUGGAUAACAAAUGAAAGGGUGAAAAAAAUAUCAUGUUUUGAGGAUCUCACUUCAAAAAUAUUAUAGAAAAUUAUCUUGGAAAAAUAGAUAUUAGUCAAAGGAUAGAAAAAUUAAAGGUGCCAAUGCUGCCUAUUUACCAAUUAUGCUUCUAUUUACUUUGUAAGGCCAUAAAUAAGACAAAACAAGGUAGAUUAGAAAAAUAAAGGAUAUAGGCAUAUGCAUGGAAGAGUGAGGAGUGAAAAUUAGUAAAAAUUAUUUCAAGAAGACAAAAGUUGAUACCCAAAGAGGACCAGUUAUAAACCUGGGUCGAAAUCAGACCCCGAGGCACAAAACUGUGCUCUGACGGCGACUCAAGGACUCUUUGGCAGAUUGGAGAAAGGAAUUUGAUAGAAUAUUGGAUAAGGUUUCUAUGGAUGUUGGUUUUGGGUGAUUUGGAUUUGUAUUGACUUUGAAAUAGCUUUGCAAAGUCAAGGUUUGUUUCGGAUGACUUGGAUUUUAUGAAAUAAAAUAGGAUUUAUAUUUUGGGUGAUUUCAAGAGUUUUGUUAUAGAUCUAUGGGUGAAAUUUUUUAGGUUUAUGUUUAUAGUUGUAUUAAAUAUGUAUUGUGAAUUUGAGCUCGAUCCAACAGUUGAAUUAAAGGAUAUUGAGGUUUAGGUGGAUCAAGGUCUCAAAAAGUAGAAUUUUAGGUCCAGUGAGGAUUUUUAAGAUUUCUUACAAUCUACUAGUUGGAUUGGAGUGAAACUUAUAUGAGAGGAUAUUAGACUUGUUUUUCUAUGCGUAGGAAAAUUUUGAAAUCAAUCGAACGAUGCAAAUGAGAGAUAUUGGCUCUGGAAGAUUGGCAUCAAGAUUGGAGAAGGAGGCUAGUCAAUACCUAAGCACAUUUUUGAGGAUAUCGUCAAUUUGGUAACUCCGAUCCUUAUCAAUUUUUUUUAUACUUAUUUUCAGAAGUAUCAGUUCGAUCCUUAUUAAUUUUUAUAACUUAUUUUUUUAGAAGUGUGCAAAAUUUGAGUUAAGAUCAACGAUUUAUUCAUUAGUUAUUGAGGUUUAAAUUUGUUGUAGGAAUUAUUAGGAUUUGGUUUAGGAUUUGGUUAGGAUUUGGUUUGGGAUUUAGGAUUUGGAUUAGGAUUUGAUUUAGGAUUUAGGAUUUGAUUAGGAUUUGAUUUAAGGUUUAGGGUUUGGAUUAGGAUUUGAUUUAGGGUUUAGGAUUUGGAUAGGAUUUGAUUUAGGAUUUAAGAUUUGAUUAAGAUUUGGUUUAGGGUUUAGGAUUCGAAUUAGGGUUUGGAUUAGGAUUUGAUUAGGAUUUGAUUUAAGGUUUAGAGUUUGGAUUUAGAUUUGGUUUAGGGUUCGGUUAGGAUUUGAUUUAGGAUUUAGGAUUUGAUUAGGUUUUAAUUUAGGGUUUAGGAUUUGGAUUAGGGUUUGGUUUAGGAUUUGGUUUAGGAUUUGGUUAGGGCUUGAUUUAGGGUUUAGGAUUUUAUUAUGAUUUAAGAUUCAAUUAGUUUGGCUUAAAUUUUGAAUGAAGUUAAAUAGGAUUUUAAUUAGAAUUAAAUUAAGAUUGAAUUGAGAUGUAUUUGAAUGACAUUUGUGUUCUUUUUAAUGUUUCUUUAAAAAUUCCUAUUAUUUUUUUGAAAUUUCUUUGAGGUUUUUUUGAAUUUGAUUAAGCUUGCUUAGAAUUAUUAUAGUCUAAUUAGAGUAUUAUUAAUAUUCUAUUAGAAUUAGGAUUUUGUUAUUAUAAUUUCCAUUCUUCUUUCCACAGCCAGGUGCCCGAAGCAUUCUCAAGCCAGACUUCACGUAUUACGACAGCGGCUCAUAGAUUAAUCUUUGUAAAGAUCUUUCUUUGGCUAAGUUGAUCAAGAAGUCCUGAUAUCAAUGGCAAUGGAUAUUGAUUCUUUAUUGUCAUUUUAUUAAGACCACAAUAAUUGACACACAUUUAUAAGGAUCCAUCUUUCUUCUUCACAAAUAAUAUUGAAGUACUAGCUAGUGACUUGGAAUGUCAAAUAAAAUUCUUAGCCAGAUUUUCUUCAAUAUAUUCUUUUAAAGUUACAAGCUCAUUCUGGUAUAAAUUAUAGAUGGGUCCAAAUGGUGGUUGAAGACCUUUUUGAAGGUUAAUUGCACAAUCGUGAGGACGAUGCUUAGGCAAGAUAUUCACAUUUUUCUUUUCAAAUAUAUCUAUAAAAUCUUUACACGCCCAUAGAAUUGUUGUUGUAGCAACCACAGGUUUUGAUUAUAUAUAUUCAUAGAUAGCAAACAUAGUACCUUGUUUGGUUGCCCUCAUAAAUGUUUUAGCUUCAAAAAAUAAAUGUUGUUUAAAUUUUGGCUUGUUGGGUGUUAGAAGCUUUUUCAUAGAUCUGUGAGUUCUAUGAUCUAUUAGAAGAAAUUCUAACUUUUGUGAUAUCUAAUCUAGUUGUGGAUUGUAUUUUUCAAGCCAUGAGAAUCCUAAAAUGAUUGGACUUGAUGGUGAGCUAAUGACAUUGAAUACUACUUGGCUGCUAUAGAUGUCAAAGGUUAUUUCAAAUCAAAUCAUUUCAUGAGUGAUGUCUCUAGAGGAUAAAGAUUGACCAUCUAUUACAUCUAUGUAUAUGCCUUUGUAUUUUUUGAUCGUACAGAUUUUGUAUGAUCUAGAAAAUUCUUUGUUAAUAAAACAUGCAGAGGCUCUUGAGUCAAGUAAUGUAUGACAAUCUAGUUUUGUGACUCCUUAUUAUAUAAAUAUAAUAAAAUGACGAGAAGGAUUGGUAGAGAGUAUAUGAUCUUUUUUGAUUUGUGAUAAUAAAGAAUCUAGCCACACAGUCCUUAUUAUAGAUGGACAUCCUUAUUUUUUUACAAUGCUUUUGAUGAUGUAGUCAUACUCCUCAUUUGAUAUGUACACUGACAUUUCUUUGAACAAUCAUUAAUCUUAUGGCCAGGUUUUUUACAGUAUAAGCUUAGGCUAAGUUCCCUUUGGUGCUUUUUAUCUUACUUAAAAAGAAGUUUGAAGCAAAUUGCAUCAAUUUGCAUAUCUUUUGCUUCCAACUGCUUAUUAGAAUUGGAUGGUGAAGAAGCUGCAAAAUAGUUGGUGUAUAUAUGUGAUGUAAUUGAAGAACAUUUAGCUUGUCAUUAUUGAAAUAAAUGGUUAUCACACUUCAUAGCUUGACUAAUGGCUUCAUUGAGUGUUAGAGGAUCUGGCAUAUAUAAUAAUAAGUCCUUGACAUUGUUUUUUAAUCUCCAAUGAAAUUGGCUCAUCAAUGCGUCUUCUCUCCAAUUUAUAUCACAUGCUAAUUGUCAAAAAUCUGAGGCAUAUAUUGAUGCAAAGUACGUUAUUCUCAAAGGCUUUGAAUUUUAGUUUUUGAUUAAUGAAUCUUAUCAUAUUCACUAAAUACUUCUGCAAAUGCUGCCAAAAAUUCUUCAAAAUUGUGUAAUAUAAGAGAAUUUUUUUCAAAUAAUGGAGCAAACUAAGAUAAAGCUUGACCCGAGAACAAGGUUCCAACCAAACCAACACAAGAUACUUCAAUGGAAUAUUGUUGACAUUGAAGUAAGGUGAUUAGUCAUACUUAGUUUACAAAGCUACAAAAUUUUGAGUGGAUACCAAUGAAUUUUUUUGGAAGAUUGAUCUUUGGUUUUUUUGUUGUUAUUAUUGUCAAAUCAUUGCUUUGAGUGGAUGCAUCUGCCAUGUUUGAAGUAGACAUAGUCGUUUAAGAAUUUAAAACAUCUAUUACAAUUUGAUGUCAUGGUUGAGGCACUCCAGGUCCUUGACCAUUAUGUAUGGUCGUAUAUAGUUCUUCAUUCUGCUUCAAUAAAGUCUAUGUCUUAAUCUUCAAUACUUCAAGAGUAUUAAUAAUAGAAUCUAACUUGAUCUCUUUUGAUUUUGUUAUAUUGAUUUUUUUACCUUUUGCCAUAGAAAAUUAGAAAAAUAUACACCUUUAAAAGAAAAGAAAAGAAAAAGAAAAAGAAAAAGAAAAAGAAAAUCUAUGAUAUAAAGAAAAGAAACCAAAAGAAUAUUAAAAAAAGAACAAUAUUAGUCUAAGAGAAGGUAAUCCGCAAUCUCUAGAAUGCUAUAGCACUUUCAAAAAGAGGGACAAUCUACUCUUUGUCAAGAAAGACCAACUUCCUAAUAUUGUUUUAUGUGAGUCUAGAUAAACUAUUAGGGACCAUAUACAAGACAAGGAUUUGAAACUAAGAAAUAGAGUUAGCUCGACAUUAGAAUAAUAACUAGAUACAAGGCAAAAAAAACCUAGUUAGACCAUAAGAAGUGAGUUGUCGAGACUAAGGAUCCCCUCACCAUUGACUCCUAUAUAUACUAAGUCCUAAGAAGCUUCUUGAGAAGUUUCUAUGAGGCUUGAGAACAAAGUAAGCCUAAGAUCUUUCUUUAGCAACUUCCUAAAUUAUCUAAAGCUUCUUAGAACCUUCUAGGACCUCCUAUGACAUUCUAGAACUUUCUUAGAAUCUAUUGGAACCUCCUAGAACCUUCAAGAGCCUUCUUAAAACCUACUGGUACCUUCUAGAAUCUUUUGAAAUCUUCUAGAACCUUCUAGGACCUUCUUCAGUUGUAUGUCUCUCACAAAUAAUGAAAAUGGAAGCAAUUCCAAUGAAGUAUAACAAUCAAAGAUAUCUUCUAUUUAAAAAAAUCCAAAGCAUUAUUAAAGAAUCAAGCACAUUGACAUUCAACAUCACUUUAUAAGAAAGAGGAUUAAAAUAGGAUUAAUUGAUAUGAAAUAUUGUACAAUUGAAGAAAUUCUUCUUGAUUUGUUAACAAAUGCACUUGUAAAAGAUAGACAUCACAUAUUCACAAAAGUAUUAAGAUUAAAAAUCUUUAAUUAAUAGCAAAGUGAAAGUGUUAAAAUAAAUAAAUAAAAAUAAAAAUAAAAAUAGAUUAAAUUAUCUUGUAGAAGAUAUUAUCUUAAAUAAGUUAUUAUAAUCAAAGGAUGGAUUUUUGAUAUGUGAAAAAAUAUCCUAUGAAUAAGAGAUGAGGUUAAGAGCUAAGAGUCUAAUUAAGAAGAUAAAAAAUCAACUAGAAAAUAUUCAAAGAUUAAGUAAGAGUAUAAAGUAUAUACUAUAGGAUAUCCUUGAAGUAAAUGAAUUGGCAAAAAGAUCCUAAGAGCAUAAAAGAUACGCCAAAGGUGAUCUUCAUAAUUAAUAAGAUAUGAAAAGAUAAUUUUGAUAUAUUCUUAAAUAGAUGUAAAAGUCAAAGGAUGGAAAUAGUUGUUAAGAGCAACAAUCACUACCUAUAAAUAAUAGAUUUUAGAAGUGAAAGUCAUCUUACUCCAUACUCCAUUUGUAUGUAAUCUUAUUUAUAUUAUGUAUUGUGACUUCAAAGUUAUUUUUUGUCAAUAAAGGCCAUAUUAAUUAAUGAAUGUAAGAUGAGUGAUUUGGAAGAGUUGUACUAUUUUUUUGGUAUAGAAUUUGUAAAAAAAUAUAUUAAUUACAACAUUAUAAUGAGCCAAAAUAAAUGCAUUGAGGUGGUAUUGAAACAAUUCAAUAUAAGGCACUGCAAAUCAAUUGCAAUACUUCUUGAAGCCAACUUAAAGUUGCUUUAACUCAUAGAUGGGAAGUUUACACAAAAUGAAAGUCAAAUGCAAAGUCUUUCAUACAAAGCAGUAGUAGGCUUAUUUAUAUAAGUUUUUAAGAAUUUAAGUAAUAAGCUUAGGCAAUAGUUAGUAAUUAGUUUUUCUUUUUAAUGUAUUUAUGUUAUAGAAUUUUUUCUAAUUUUUAAAUACUGAAAAAUUCAAUUAAUUUUCUUUAUUUUGGAAUAUAAGAAAUAUGUAUUUUAAAUUGUUCUAACAAAUUUCUUUCUAAAAAGCAUUUUGCAUGCAAAAUAGUUUGAAAAAGCUUCUUAUAAUUUGAAUAUAGAGCAAUCGCUCUUAUUUUGUAAAUUCCAAAAAUAUAGUCACAUUUCCGAAAAUAACUUGAUUUAAAUGUUUUCGGCAAAUUCCGAAUAUAAGGGGGCCUGCCCAUAUGCCACGGGAUCUCAAGCUUUGGUGGAACUGGCGAUCGAGAUGGACGUCCUCUUUCAUUCGUUUGUUAAUUCAUCCAGCAUUAUUAAGUCCUCGAGCUGUCCCCCUGGCCCUGAAACCCCCCCUGCCCCCCACCCGGCUGUGGGUCUGUUCCACUGAGCGUCAAGUUGUUCUCUGACGCACUGAGAUGCGGAUGGUCCACGCCAGAGAUGGAGGACGAUAGCUUCUAAUCCUCCAGAGAACGCGAUCCUUACUCUGGCUGCUCGUGACAAUUCGAUCCCAAGUUCUCUCCCAUCUAUUCUGGCUUCCCGGCGAAUACCUAUGAUCUUCUAGAGCUCAUGAUGACAAGGGUUAACUGGGGUUUUAUGCGCAUCAUUAUGUGAACAAUGAUCUUAGUUCUGGAGCUUUUUCAAGUCUUCCAAAUGCGCUACUCCUGACGUUGUUCUAUUCUAUUCCAUGUUAGUGCGGUUGUAGAUUUUUUACUGUCGUGCGAGUGUUCGUGGCGUACAAAUCUGAUUGAUUGGAAUUCAGGAAUUGUAAAGUGUUCUAUCCUAUCUUGUGUAGCUUUUAUGUCAUCUGUGGCUGGCCACAUGGACGCUCGCGACAUCUACGAAGCAGGCCCGCCGUGCGUCUCCCGCGCUGUUGAUGGCUUUGUUCGCAUCGGCAUGGUACAUUCUUCUAUUCUUAUGUGAUCACCUCUUUAGUACGUAUCUCUGCGAUCCCUGCACUCGCUAAGUAAUUGUGACUCUGUUCCUCUAUUCCUAUCUCUUGGGCAUUUCACAAGUAUUGCUUAGCUUUCAGGAUAGCUUUAGAUGUAGGAAUAUUGUUUCAGGUGAGGAGAGGGUAGUUGUGAGUUUGAGCUUGGUUGCCGGUUCUUGGCGUUAGGAAAGGCCUUAUUACAUGUCAUAUUAACCCCUCUUUUUCUGCUUUCCUGCGAGUGAGGGAAGUAACAAGGUGUGAUUGGUUUUAGUGAGACAGAUUAGGGUUUGCGUCGAACAGUUGAGUUCAGGGUUUGUUUUCGUCCUCUUAUUCUCUUAUGCACUUUGAGGAUCAUUAGUCAUAGGUUUAGGCUGUUGUGCACUGAUCUAUUGUAUGCUUGUUCAUAUGCUCAAUUGAGCGAGCAUUCACAGUAUUACUGGAGAGGUCAGCACUUCGUGAAGAGGGCCUGAGGCUUGUUUGAGUUUAGAUUAGUAAGGAUGGUAAUCGAUCCCAGAUUGAUGACUGGUAGAACAUCUUUGUACUUUUGAAACUGGUUCAGGUUUUAGAUGUGAUGAUUAUAUAGGAUAGUUUCACUUUCCAAAUUUCUACAUCUCGGAGUGGGAACAGAGACCAAGGCUUGUUCGUCGUUGGAUCGGUUUGUGUGCCUGGUCACCGAUCUUCAAUCGGCUUAGUUGUGGGGUGUCUCAGAUUGUUACUGCAUUCUGAACAGUCCUUUGUCCCCUCCUCUAAAGGUAACUCUUCACUUCAAUAGCUGAUGUUUGAUGCUUUGAGCCUGAUGUAAGAACUCAGCACAAGUGUUAAGAACAGACGGAGAUGUAAAUGGGGAAUGUAGAUGCCUUUGAUACGAUCUUUUUUGGAUCUCCUCUGUGGAUAUGUUUUUUGUUCAUAUUGAGUGACGCAUGCAUUGGCCUAGUACUGUGGACCAAAUUUCUCUCAUCAAUUCGGUAGAACUUUUAAUGUCUGUUGACGAUGCCAAUUGUCUACCUUUGACCCGCAUGUUUACAAUCCAUGUGUCAUGCUUCUGAAGUGGUAUUUUUUGCUGAACGUACAAUGUGUUUGCAUAACUAGAUAGGUAGGAUACGUAGACGCUUUCCAACACUUAUGGGUUCAAGUACUGAUAGUUCAGCGUGCACAUUGCAGGCAGGAGUUGCUUGGGGAAUGUUUAUGGGAUCCUAUGAUGCUGUUAAAGAAGGUGCAUUGUCGACCUGUCAAAGUUUACAAAUUAUUUCAGUAUCUUUCAUUUUAUUGGAUCGUUUUUGUUGUGAUAGUUUUUGAACUUCUCUCGUAAUUAUGAGUGAUUCACAAGGAAUGUGUGAUUAUGAUCUGGCUCAGGUCAUCUCGGAGCAUCGCGGGCUUUGUACGUGGUGAGUGGACCAUUUGAUCUCAAAAUAUUCUUUUGCAUUCUGGUGGAGUCAUUGACGAACAUGCACUUUCUAAAAGUGGAGGUCGACCUCAAAGGACGUUGAAUUUUUCUCUUUGAUUGUAUGUAUUUCACUGAAUAUUAGGGCAUGUGAGCAGCUUUCUGGACAUCGUGCAUGUAGAACUUAGGUAUCCUAUUAGGUGUGUCUCAUGAAUGUAGGUGUGAUUUUCAGUUGUAAACAGGCUGUUGCCGAUAGUUGAUGGCCUUCUUUUUCCACAGGCGAAGUCGAUAACGAGGAAUGGUCUGGGAUGGGGUAAGUCUUUUAAUUAUAAUGUCUCCUUGUUUAGACAUAUGCUUUAAUUGUUUUCUCUGUUUCAUAUGACUUAAACUGUCUCUUAUUGUAUUUUCAAUGAAAAUAUUUCAACUACAACCUGAUAAUGGUCAGGGUGGAUGGUCAAGGUUGUUUUGCAGGUGCAUAUUUGGGACUCAACUGUGGAGUUGAAUCCGUUAGAAAUAAAAAAGAUUGGGUAGGUUUCUGUUUCUCUUGGUAUUGUAGUUAACAUAUAGAGGGAGAGUUUUGCACCAGGUUAGAUGUUUGAGAAUAUUAGUGAUUCACAAGCUCACAUAUAACAUAGAUCAGUUCCAUCCAAAGAGGUUAAAUGAUCAUGAGCGAAACUAUUUCAAUGAUGCAUGCUGUCAAUUUUUUUUAUCUGCUUCAUUCUAGACCAAUUUGCGAAACAUCUGAUCAUUCAUGUAGCUACUAGUAUUAAGUUUGUGUUUUAUGAUGGCAGGUGAAUGCAAGUAUAUCGGGGGCUAUAACUGGAGCUUUUGUGUCAGCUCGAACUGGGAAUGUUACAAAAAUGCUAGGCACUUCAGUUCUUGUAUCUGCAAUUGCAACUGCUGGAGAUUUUCUUCGGCCUGCUCAGUAUCCGCCUACUGGUAUAUGAAUGUAGAAUUUCGGACCUUGUGUAUUUCAUUGCAACACAAACUAAGCAGUACUACUCAUUCCCCCUGAAGCGCGGUGUCUCGACGACCUCUAAGAUGUUUGAUUUUGUGCUUACCAGGACGGUUACUAGUUGAUAGGAUCUGGCUGUAAGUAGUACAUUAGCUGUUAAACGGAGCUAAUACUUGAGUAAUUGUUAAACAGAGCUUAUCUUGGACCCUCGUAUUGUAAGAAACUCCAGUAGUGGCAAAACAUUUCUUUCCGUUGUGAGAAUCUCCUAUGCACUUUAAUAGUUAUCAACAUGACUAACUACUUUUUGUGUCUUUUUUUAUAUGAUUUUCUUAUUUUGUUAUGUUCUUUUCCCAUCAACAACUAGAACGGAGUGUAACAAGAAGCAAGCAAAGAAAUUAUUACUGUAUUUCCAUUAUCUGUCUAUAUAAAUAAUGUGAAAUCCUAAGUUCUAAUCCUCGGACGUUUUUGCAAUCCUUUGUGAACUUUUACCUGCUCUGAAGAUGGUUGGCAUGCGAAGUCCGUUCUUGAGUGAGGUCGAUGCCUGCAGCCUUCCGAUAUGUUCUAAAACAUUGCAACCUCACGAGAACUUACAUAUGUUUUUUACAGGUGCGAAGUAGUGGGCACCCUUGUUGGAACUUAAAAAUAAAAUACUUGCAUGUAUUAAUUUACUGUCUAAAAAGUAACAAGAAAACAUUCUUAGAUAAAGUAGCACACGUUAAAUUAGAACAAUAUUGUUAUGCAAUAUAAUCUAUUAUAUUAAGAUAAUCCAAUUAAUACGCAAAAUUAAGACAAUUCAACUUAAAUUAUGAUACAAGCAUAAAUUUAUAUAAAAUAUUUAAAAGACAAAUAAAAAUAUAAAUUUAUUUAUAUGUAUUUUUAAAAAAUCAUAAUCAAAAUCAAAAAUAUAUUUGAAAAAUAAAUAAGCAUGAAAAUGAUUAUUAGAAGUUUUAAGUACUUGAAAAAUAUAAAAUCUUGAAUUAAAUAGAAAUACAAAAAUAAAAUUGACGAAAUUGUUGUACAUCUAGAUAUGUAUGAACUAAUAAAAAACAAUGUAUAGAUUUUUUAAAAACUACUUUUGCAAAUUCUUUUUCACAUAGCUUCAUCAAUCUUCAAGGUGGCUUUUACGUGGGGUACUAAUAGGCUUGCAUUCUUAUAUAUUGAAGUGUUUCAAUAUUUUUUUAAUGUAAUUGCUUUAGUUCAUUGUAAUAGUAUAUUUGGUACAAUUUUGUAUGAAAACAACUUCAAGAUAAUUAAGCAAUUUUCUUAAGUAAUUUAUUUCAUACUCUUCUUUUAAUUUUGGCUUUGUUUAUUCCAUCUUUUCAAUAGUGUUUGCUAAGAUGAUAAAAUCAAUAUAAAGAAUUACAAUUAAUAAACACUCCUUUGAUUACAUUGCUUACAAAAAAUGAAUAGUUUUAUUCUUUGCAAAUCCUUCUUUUAGAAGAAAUAUAUGAUUGCAUUCAUACCAUGCUGUUAAAGAAUGCUAGUCUUUGUAAAGGUUUCUUUAAAAAUCAUGCAAGUUACUUUUUGCCUUGUUAUUCCAUUUCUUUAAGUUGAUCUAUGUAAAUGUCUUUUUGUGAUUUUCCAUUAAAGAAGGCUUACAUCAUAUCUAUUUAGUACAAUUCUAAGUCCAUUAUUGCUCUAUUUGUUAAGGAUAAUCAAAGCCUUAUUUAAAAUACCUUCGAUUUAAAAUAUCAUUUUGAUAAAUUGUAAAUAGACAAAUGGCAACAAAGCUUUAAGAAAAGUUAUUAAAGUGACAAUUAGAAUUUAAAUAGGAGUUGUUAUAGAUAUCUGUAUUUACUUAGAUAAGUAGAAUUAAUUAAAAAUUAAAAAUUAAACUAUUGAUAUCUUCUUAGGAAGAUUUUUAGAAAAUGUAUAGAUUAAGAUUUGAUUAGAAUAUUGAUUAAGAUUUUAUUAGAUUAUUGAUUAAGAUUUUAUUAGAUUAUUGAUUAAGAUUUUAUUAGACAUUGAUUAAGAUGUUAUUAGACAUUUAUUAAGAUUUGAUUAGAGUUUAAUAAAAUCUUAAUCAAUGUCUAAUAAAAUCUUAAUAGAAUUUAAAGUAAUUUCUAAUAAAAUCCUAAUAAAAUCUUUACCAGAUAUUAUUUAUAAUCUAACUAAAUCCUAAUUAAAUCCUAAAAUCAAAUCAAAUCUUAAGUCUUAAUUUUAACCAAAUUCUAAUCAAAUCUUAUAGUAAAAUAAAUCCUUAAUAAUUAAUGAUUAAAUUAUCAAUUAUGUCUCAAAAUUUUUAGGAUUCUUAAUUGUUUAGUCGAAAACAAGUACAAAAGAUUUAAAAAACAUUAAAUACAUCAAAAAGAAGAUAAAGUUUUUAAUCUAUUUAAAUGUUGGCUAACCUCUCUCUUCAAUCUUGAUGCCAAUCUCUUAGCCUCAAUAUCUCUUAUUAUACCAUAGAAUUGCUCUCAAAACUUACAAAAUUGUAGCAAAUUAAGUUUUUUGGAUGAUUAUUAUUAUUAUUUUAAUCCAAUUAGAAAAUUAUUGUAAAUCUUAAAAAUCCUUAUUGAUCUUCUAAACUCCAAUUUUUAAGAUUCCAACCAAGUUGAAUUUCAAUAACUUUAAAUUUAAUCAUUUAAUGAAUCUUAAACUUCCAACAUAUAAAAAACUAUGAUUAUAAUUUCAAAUAUUUUCAACUAUAGAUUUACUACAAAUCUAAUGACAUGCUCCAAAAUAUGAAUCUUUUUAUUUCAUAAAAAUCAAUAUCAUAUUAAAAAUCUUAACUUUGCAAAGUUAUUAUAAAGCUAUUAUAAAUUCAAAUCACUCAAGACUAACUUCUAUGAGCCAUUGAAUUGACUCACUUUGAUAUUUAGUAUAAAAAAUAUACUUAUUGUGCUUAAAAUACAAAUUUUAUGAAUUAAUAUUAAAAUUUUAGGAAAAAAAUAGAAAAUAGAUUGCUAGUAGUAGACAUGCAAUCUAGGAUAGAGUUUAGUAAGAAAAAACUAUAAAGAAUAUAUUUAUUUCUAGUUAGCUAAUAGUAGAGGAAUUACAAAGGAAGUAGUCUUGAUGUCAAAAAAAGAAAAAAAAAAAAUUUAGUGAAGUUUAAUUAUCAUAGGUUUGAAGAUUUUUUCCAAAUUCAACAAAUCCAAGCAACAAAGUGUUUAUUCUAAUUUAUGGAAGCCCUUCAAAUGCAAUGGAGGCAUCAAAUGUACCAUGUAGAGUGAAGAAAACAAGAUCAACAUGCUUUCCUUGAAAGUACAAGUAGAGAAAUAAAAUUCUCAUUUUUUGAAGAAUUUUACAAGUAUUACGUAAAUCCUUAUAAGUAAAAAAACCUUCAUAAAAGUUGCAAUGACGUAAAGAUUGAUACAUGUGAGUAGUCCAUCUUAGCAUAAAAAGGUGUUUUAAACACAGUGGUUAAAUUAGAUUUAUCAAAAAGUGUUUUUUUUCCACUUACAAGAGCCAUCAGUCUUGGUCACGAAAUUAGUUCUUAGAAAAAGGAAGGCCAUAGAUCUACAUUAGGGAUCUUAGAGAUCAAGGGCGGAGAUGUGGCCACACUUCCACAAGCCACCAUUCAAUUGUAUAAGAAUGGUUUGGUUUUCUAAGCCUCUCUCUCUCUUUUCUUUUGAUGAGGGCGAAGCCAUGCCAAAGUGUAGUCUCAACCUUAAUCUUAAUCUUAUUUUUUUGCUUCUUUCUUGAUCUUAGAUCUCAUUGUGAACUUUAGGAAAAUAUGAGCAUUGGAUUUGUAUCAUGGGUGUUGCUUGUUGUGGUUUAAAAGGCGCCUCUUUGCAAUUAGUAGUCACCAACCAUUUCCACAGUCAAAAGCGUUUGAGGGGCCUCGGAUUUCCCUCAAUCAAUCUAUGGUUUUUUAUGAUUUGUAAGUAAAUAUUUUUCAUCACAUAGCCCUUGUUAUUAUCUUUACAACGAGCUAAGGCUUGCUCAAUUUGGAGCUGAACCAGAGUUUUGGUAAAUUUUUGAGUGCGAAGGGUGGCUACCUUAGUAGUUUCAAUAACCCAAUUUUGAAAAGGCAUUUCUUCGUGCUACCUAAAGGAAUUAUUUUAAAAUUUUGAAAAUACAAGCACCUUCACACUGAGCUUCUAUUGAAAUAAAUUUCAUUAAAUUUGAAGAGGUUUUGAAUUUUUAACGACUUUUUGAGUGAAGGGGGGUGGGCUGCAAUGGCAGGCCCAAUGAUCCAACUUUGAAGAAGCAUUUCUCGCAGCUCAAGUACAAGAUGGCCACGAAAAUUUUGGAACAGGAGAAUCUCGAAGUUAAAUUUCCAACACAUCAAAAAUCACUAGAUUUGGAGCUAAUUUGGAUUUUUUUUCAAAUUUUGGAGUAAAAAAGGGUGCUUCCUUCAAUUCUUGGACGUUGUCAAGAUACUUUUGCUUGUACCUCUCUUUAUUUUAUUUUUUCUUUCAUUUUUUUAUAUUUUUAUUUUUAUUUAAAAUAACUUAUAACUUCUACAUUUCACUUUUGGCUUUUAUUUUUAACUUUUAAUCUUCUCUAUUUUACUUUUAUUUUUUUAUUUUUUGAUCUUUACUAUCUUUUUACUUUUUCCUUUACUUUAAAUUUUAAAACUUUACUUUUAACUUUUAAUUUUUAACCCAAUCUUUAAAAAAUUCAUAGUUACUAUGGAUUUAUGAUAAUAACUUAAUUAAUUACUUUUACCAUCAAUUAUUUAAGAAGUAAAAAUUUAUAUAUUUUAAAAAAUGAUAAAAUAAUAAAAAAAUAAAGAGUAAUAAAAAUAACUAAUAAAUAAUAAUAAUAAUAAUAAAAUAAAAUAAAAUAAAAAUUUAGCCAAGUUAUCUAAUUAGAAGUAGAAGAAAGAAUUGUUUUGCAUGAAAUUAAGGAGUGAAUUAUCAUUGUGAAUUUGAGUAAUAUUAGAGGAUUUGAUUAAUAACUUGGUGUUUUAAGAAGAAUAAGUAAUAAGUGGAUUAGAAUUUAAAUAAUAUCUUUAUUUUUAAAUUUAUAUAGUCAAUUCACUUAUUGUGAGUUAGAAUAAACUUCCAAUUAGUGGAGGUUUAUUUUAGCUCACAACUUCAAAAAAACCAUUCUAUAGUUUUCUCUCAAAUCAUACUCUUCCAUCAACCAAAAAAUUUCGGAUUUGCUAUAAAGACACGAUUUUGUGCCACAAGAUCUGAUAUUGAUCUAAGUUCACAACUGGUCAUUUUUGAGUAUCAACUGUCUUAUUUAUGGUUCUAAAAAGUAAGUAAAAAUAUAUUUUAUAAAAAAUAAUACUAGCACUUACUGAUUUUAUUACUUUCUUAGAUAUUACCUAUAUUUAUAAAAUAUUCUUUUACUAUAUUUCUAAUUAAGAUCUUCAUAAUAUAAUCAUUUUUUUUCCCUUUAUCUAAUAUUUGUGGUAUAAAAUGACAACAUGUGUCAUGCAAUUUGAAAAUGUAUCAUAUGAUUGAUAGGACAUGAUCACAUAGUUCUUUAAUAGAUAAUUUUUUAACUAAUCCAUCACCUUUAAUGUAUAAGUUAAGAUGAUUAAACCAUUAGUAUAAAAGUUGACAAUCAAAAAGACAUCUUUUAAUUUCAUCAUAUAUAUGGAAUAAUCACCUUUAUUCCUUAUAAAUACUUCAUUCAAAAAAAUGUAUUAAUUUAUUGCUACUAUGUCCUUAAUUAUUGCUUAAAGCCAUACAAAGAUUUCUUUAAUUUAGAAACAAGGUGUUGUUUGCUUUUUUGAAUAUAGCUAUGAGAUUAAUCCAUAUAAAAGAUUUUUUUGAACUUUUUAAUUAAAAAAUUAUUAAAGUAAAUAAGUAAUUAUAAAAUUAGAUUAAAUUAUCUUUUAAUAGAUAUUAUUUUUGGUAAUUUUCUAAUAGUUAAAAGAUUAGCUCUUAUAAUGUGAAAAGACAACUUCUAAAUAAGUAAGAAUAUUAAGCUUUAAGCAUAAGAUCAAUAUGAUAAUAAAUUUAUUAUAGAAUAUGCUAAUUUAUAAUAGACAUAUAUCUUUAUUCUAAUAUUUAUUUAUAUAAUUAAGUAGAAGUAGGUAAAAAUAAAUUUAUUUGAUAAUAUUUUCUAAAAAAACUUUCAAGAAGUUUUAUAGAUAUUGCUUUGAAUUUACAUGUAUUUGUAGUUGAUUAGUAGGUUAAAAACUUGGUCAAUAAGUUAAUCACAUGUUUGUAGCCUGUGGAAUAAGUUAAUUAUAUGGCAUAUAUAUAAAAAACUUGCCUUACAAGUUAAAAUAUGUGUCUUACAAAGUCAAUAUGUUUCGGAGGUCUAAUAUGACAUUGCCAUGUAUCUCCUAAUUAAAAGUAUAUAUGGAAGCAGGAAUGAAGCCUUCUUCACUCUUAUCAAUGCCAUUCUAGUUUUUAGUCUUAUUUUGAAGACUUUUUAAUGUUCUUGUCUUUAGUAAUAGUCAUUUUAGUUUAAAAUUAUAUCAUCUUUGAGUGAUUAUCUAGUCUAUUUGAAUGAUACAAGAAUAUCUUUAACUUUUAUUUCUUUAAGAUUCAUGCCUUUGAUAGUUUAAUAAUAGUAAAGAUUCAUUAUUCUUAUCUUAUUUUAGAAGUGAAUUGAUUACCUUAUUUCUAUUGUUGUAUUUUGAAGGUUGUAGAUUACCUAUCUUUAAAAAAAUUAUUUAAUUUUGUAAUAAUAAUAUUUUUCUUAAUGAAAGUGGAUUAUCCUUCUUUUAUAGAAAAUUUCAUUUGAUAUUAGAGGUUGUGGAUUACCUUCCUCUAAUUUGACUUUUGGAUUUUUUAGGUUGUUUGAAAUAGAAUGAAAAAUCAUAGAUACUACACUUAGUAGAAGUAAGAAUAUAUUUGCAACUAUUUGUGAUCUUUAAAAACUUUUCAAUACUCUUAGAAUAGAAAUCUUAUGCAUCAUAAGUACCAACUAUGGAAACACUAAUCUUAUACCUAUGAAAGAAGUUUAGAGUUUUUGUCAUAAAAUUAUGCAAUUAAAGGAUACAAGUAAAUUGACCUCAUAACUAAAUCCAAGAAUUUUUGCUUUUAUAAAUAUGAGAACAAUAAAGAUUAAUAUGCCCAAGAAUUUGAUGGAAUAAGAUCAAAAUUUCAAAUAUUUUUGUAAUAAAUCAAGGUCUAUCUAAAGUUGCAUCCCUUCCAAUACCUUAAUAGAUUUAUUCAAGUUGGAUUCUUAGAUAUAUUUUUAUUUGGAAGUGUUCUUUUUUGGUUUGUGCCUUUAAUGAAAAAUAAUUUACAACUCUUUUAUGAUUUGAAUUCAUUCGUAAAAGUAUUUAUGGUUGCAUUUGAAAAAAAUAUUUAAAAAAGAAUAGUAGAGAUUAAGCUAUUACUUUUAUGACAAAGAUCACAUUCAGCCACUAGAUAUAUUGCUAAAUUCCAAAACCUUACUUGUGAUGUGGAUUGAAAUGAUAAAGUCCUUAUCAAUAAAUUUUGAUAUGGAUUAAAGAAUUACAUCAAAGUUUUAUUAUUAAUAAUGCCAAAAAUAAAAUAUUUAAAAUAAUUUAUUAUUGAAGCCAUUAAAUGUGACAAUCAAUCAUUUGAAAGAUGUUAAGAACAAAGACUUGAUUGGAGAUAAACAAGUCAAGUAAUAAUGGCAGCUCCUAAGUUUUCAAAAAAUUAUUUAUCAAAGCCGAAACCAAUAUAAAUUGAUACAAUAUAUUUUGAAUCCCUUAUGGAGCAAAAAAAAAGACUUAUACUUAUAUUACUCAAUAUUAUCCAAAGAAAUAAUAUAAUCAUAAAAUGAAGAGCAUAGUUGCUUAAGAAGAUAAUUUGUCAAAAAAUAAGUUUCUCUAAUUACAACAAGGACCAUGUGGCUGAAAUCUUCUAUAAAUUAUAAUAAGAGUUUUAUUCUCUCUUAAAAUCUUUCACCUUAUUUAAUAAUAGAAGUUUAUUUAGGACUAAAAAAUCACAAAGUCUUAUCUUUAUUAAAUUUAGGAUCCUUAAUCUAUUUCAUAAGCAAAGAUUUUGUCAAAAAAUAAGAGAUAUUGUUAGUCAAGAAAACUAAAUAUAUACAUAUAAAAAUCAUAGAUGGUCGUUUGUUGUCUUUUGGAAAUGUUAUCCAUGAAACUAUUUUUUUAGAUGUAGCAAUUAAAGAUCACAAUAGCAUAGUAAUAUUUAAUGUAAUAAAAUCUCUAUUUAAUUUGAUUAUUUUAGAAUUAUCUUAAUUUUAAAAAGUAUAAUCCUUAAAUAUAUUAGAUUUCUUGUAACCUUAAAUUUUUUUAUAAUUUGAUCCAAAGUUCCAUUAAUUAAGUAAAAAUAUGUAAGCCUAGUACAUCCAAACCUAUAUUGAUAAGUUUGAAAGCUUUUAUUAUUAAGGCAAAAGUAGAAUCAUCUUUUGUUUUAUAUGCUACUUCCAUUUUUGAUGGUGGAAAGAUGUCAAGUGAAAUUCUUAGCUAGUUCUAAGAUUUCUAAGAUUUUUUUGAAAAAAAAAUACAGAUAUUCUUCUAAAGCAUUGAUCUUAUAAUUGUUCAAUUGAUUUAUAAGAAAGGACUCAAUAAUCAUUUAGAUAGAUCUAUAGCUUAUCGUAAAAAGAGUCGGCUACACUAAAAAAAUAUAUUGGAGAGAAUUGGUAUUAGAAUUUCAUACGCCAUUUAAAAUCUUCAAUACAAGCUUCUAUUUUAUUUGUGAAAAAAAAAAGAUGGAUCUUUACAAAUGAGCGUAGACUAUCAAAGACUUAAUCAGAACAAUAAUAGAUAUUCCUUACAUUAAAUUUUAUGACUUUUCAAUCAACUCAAUUAAACAAAGAACUAUACAAAAAUAAAUCUAUGAAGAGUAAAUAAUUUAGUCCAUAUUAAAGAAGGAGAUGAACAAAAGAUUUCUUUCAAAAUUCUAAAACUUACAUUUUAACAUGUCACAAAUGAUAUUAUUCAUGAUUUUUUUGAUAAUUUUAUUAUUUGUUAUUUAGACAAUAUUCUAAUCUUCUAUAAGAACAUAAAAGAAUAUAAAUUUUAUAUUUUUCAUGUAUUACAAAAACUUAAAGAUGAAUUUUUGGAUCAAAUUUUACUAUAGGUGGUGAUUUGUUACGAAUAGGAUUAGGUGACAAGAUCCAUCCAAUAACUUUUCAUUCCAAAAUAUUUUUAGCAGUUGAGAUUAAUUAUGAGAUCCAUGACAAAGAGCUUCUUACAAUUAUGGAUUAAUUUUAAGAAUGGCAUUAUUAUCUAGAAAGCACUUCUAAUCUAGUCACCAUAUAUAUAGAUUAUAAGAAUCUUAAGUACUUUACAUCAAUACAUAUUUUAAAUCAUUGCCAAGCCUGUUAGAGCAUAUUUUUAUAAAUAUUUGAUUUCAAGAUCACUUAUUUACAUAGAAAAUAAUAAAGUUUAUUGAAUGCCUUUUUGAGAUCUUCUUAUCUUGUACCAAAAGAAAAAAAAAUGCAUCUUUUAAUUAACAAAGAAUGAUUUUUUUGAAGUUGGAGUAUUUUCAUCUUUAAGCAAUAAAAUCAACAUUGACUAUUGAUUCAACCUUUGUCAAGUAAAUUCAAUCAAGUAUAUCCUUUGAUCCUCUUAUUCAUGAUAUUAAGAAUAAUUCUUUCUAGUCUCAUAAUACUUUUAAGUUCAAGUUUUAAAAUAUUAUAUAAAUCUGAGAUAUGAAAGCAUAUUUAUAAUAGUAGACUACUUUAUCAAGAUGGCACAUCUUGUAUCAUGUAUAAAAUAUUUCAGAAGUGAAGAAAUAGCUAAGUUUUUUUUUAACAAAAGCUAUUACUAUUAUGGAUUACUCAAAGAUAAUAUAUUGAAUAUGAAGACUCAAUUUGUAUCCAGAUUUUAGAGAAUCCUUUUCAAAAUUCUAAAGGUAGAAAUAAAGAUCUCUUCAAAUUUUCAUCCUCAAAUUGAUAGGCAAACAAAACAAGUAAAUCAAAUUCUAGAGCACUGUUUGAGGUGUAUCAUCAACUAUCAUCAAGUUGAUAAGAUAAUUUUUUUUUCUAUUGGCUAAGUUUGCAUACAAUAAUUUGGUACAUUGUUCUACUCAAUAAAUAUUUUUUUUUUAUCAAUUAUGAUUACCAUCCAAGAUUUGAUACUUUUGACUUUUUAAAAGUUGAUAAUCUUUUGACAUAAGAUUUGAAAAAUUAUUUAUUAGAGUUACAUAUAACAAUUAAGGUGUUGUUAAAUGAAGCUCAAAGAUGACAAAAGAUCAAUGCAAAUGCCUAUUAUAAGGAAAAACCAUAAUUUAAUAUGGAUGAGAAGAUAUGGUUACUUUAUCAAAAUAUUAUGACUAUUUAUCCUUAUAACAAGAUGGACUAUUGUAAGCUUGGAUCUUUUUCUAUUUCUAAACAUAUAAAUCUUGUUAUUUAUUGAUUACAUCUAUUGAUUCUAUGAAGAUCCAUCAUUUAUUUCAUAUAUCACCUCUUGAGCUAUGUAAAACAAUGAAUAUUUUAAGAAGAAGAAAAAUGUUGCUUCUUCAUGUAGAAGUAGAUAAUAGUCAAGAAUUUAAAUUAAAAAGUCUUAGAUUCAAGACAAUACCAAAAUAGAUUAAAAUAUCUUAUUCAUUGGCAUGGAUAUGAUAUUAGUGAAUGUACAUGGGAGCUAGCAAAGAAUCUUAUAAAUGCAACAAAGAAAGUUGAAGCUCUUUGUCAACAACAUCCAUCAAAAUCAAGAUGAAGAAUAGUAAAUUUUUUCUAUAAAAAAAAUAAGAUCCAAAGAAGAUAGUAUUCUACUUUCUAUUUUUUUUUGUAAAUUUUGUGUAUUUGUGAUGCUAAGGAGAUGGAGAACUAACAACAAGUAGAUUCAACUGAAGAACUUUCAAUUGUUGACUUAUCAAAUGAAACAUUGUAAUUGCCAUAACUUUCAAGUCAAUAUAAUCAAAAUGAAGAUCCUCAAGAAUAACAUGUUUUUUUUUGAAUAGAUGGAAAGAUACAAUACAUUUAAUAUCAUGACCUUGCAAGUGACUCUCAAUGUUUGGUGAUUUUAAUAGAAGUAGAAAUAAUUUUUGAUAAUUUUCUAAAUGUAUUAUUUGAACGAAGUUACAAAGGUUUGAACAAUAAUCAAAUAAUAAGAUAGUCUUCUUGUCCUAAUAUAAGAUAUGAUUGAUGGCUAAAAAGACCUAUCAACUAUCUUCAAAAAGAAUAAAGAUCACAAUAUGUGGUAAAUAUAAUUUGCAGCAUCUUGGAUUUCUUCAACCUAUAAUGACUACUCUUCAUAGAAUUCAUUCCUAAAAAGAAGGACAAUAAGAUAUUUUUCAAGUAGAUUGAUUAAAAUUAGAAUUAUAGUUAAAACUUACAACUAAAUUAGUAAAUUAAUUGAUUUGUUACGAUUUAGAACUUGGAUUUGGGCUUGAAAAUAGUCAACUUAGGAAUAAAAAUGUGUCUUAGAAACAAUGGUGGUAUUAAUUUUACUAAAAAGAUAUUAGUUUUUUAGUUAUGAGAAUUUCAAAUCUAAAAAUUGGAUUAAAGCUUAGAGUGAUUGUGGACUUUUUAUCUUGGUUAGGCAUUUUUUGAUUUAGAUGGUAGAGAUGUGGCCGCUAGAGUGAUUGUGGAUCCUUGAUCUUGCUUAGGGAUUUUUUAAUUUGGAUAGUAGAAAUGUGGCUACUAGCUUUGGACCUCUUCUUACUUAAUUUAGAGAGCUUGGGUGGCCAAUUUUUUUUUUUUUUUUUUUUUUUUUUUCCUCCUUUUAUAAGGCAAAGCCUUGCCAAAUUAUUUCUAAGCUUUUAAUUGAAGAAAUUUUCUCCCACCUUAUCACAGCAUUUGUAGUUAUAUUCUCUCAGUCAUUUAAUUUUUUAUACUUUUGAACAAUAUUUAAUAUUCAUCUUUUUCUAAUCACUAAAUUUUCAAUGACAUAAGCCACAAGCAAUUUGAAGUUUAGAUGGUUUUUAAACAAAUUUCCAAGUGGUAGGGGGUCUAUUAUCCUUAGCAAUAAAGGAGUAUUAACUUCAAAAAUUUAUAACUUAGUGACCUCUAAUUCAACUUUAAUGUGACUUACUAUUUUAAAUGAAAUUUAAAAUCUUAUCUAUUAAAAUAUUUGAGUCUUUAACUUCCAAGUUAUAAAAAAAUUUUGAUAAUUUUCAAAGUGAGGACGGAUCUGUUACCUUAGCAGUUUAGAAUAAUUAAUUUUAGAAAAAUGUAGCUUAAUGCCUACUAAUGUUUUUUCAUCAAAUCUUUUUUGAAAAAAAAACUUGCUAAGUGUAGUUUUAAAAAAAAUUAGAGGUGUUAACUUUGAAUCAUUAAACAACUUUUAGUAAAUUUUUAGGUAGAAGGGAUUUCUUGCCAAGGCAGUCCAAGUGGCUAUAAUUUGAAAAAACCAUAUCUCAAGCAUUUUAGAUCAGAUUGUUGUAAGAUUUAAAAAAGUAGAAGUAUGCUAGAGUUGACUUUAAUCACACCAAAUUUCACAUGCAUUGGAGUCUUAAGAAAUUUUUGGUAAAGUUUUGAGUGGCAAGGGUGGCUACUUACAACUUGACAUUCUCAAGGUAUGUUAUUAUUUCCUUUGCAAUCAUCCUCAAAUCACAUUUUUUUAGCACUUAAUUUGCUAUAUUAAUUUUUAAUUAUCUUAUUAUCAUUAAUUAAUAUUAUUUAAUAAUUUUUAAGAACUUUUUCUUCAUUCUAGUAAUUAAUGAUAAAGUUUCAUCUUUUUAUCUAUCUUUAUCUUUAAAAGAUAUAAGAAAAUAAAAAUUAACCUUAUCUUUUCAUUUUCACCUUUUAUUUUUAAUCAUAGUUUAAAAAUUUUAUUUUUUACCUUCAAUUUUUUAAUGUGGUUAUUUUUAAAUUCUUCACUCAAUUUUUAGAGAUUAAUUUUAAUUUAAUUUAAUUUAUUUUAUUUUAAUUCAUAACUUUCAGAGUUUAAGCUUGAUCAAGUAAACCAUGGAAGGCACUUAACUUAUUAGAAUAUAAAAUUUAAGAAAUCAUAAAAAAAUUAUACUUGAUUCAUUAUAUUUGGUUGGAUUAAUUAUAAUUAUUAUAUUAUUUUUAUUUAUUUAUUUAUUUAUUUAUUUAUUUAUUUAAUUUUUUUUAUAUUUAUGGUUAAAGUGUCCAUAUUGGUUAAUAUUAAAUUUUAAUAUAAGUUACAAUUGAAUAAAAUUAAACUUAAAAGAGGAGUGAAAAAAUUGCUCACAAAAAGCUAAUAUAUGGAGUUUGUCAUGUGCUCCUAUUUGUCACAAUACUGCACCUAAGGCAAAGUUUGACAUAUUUGUUUCUAUAAAAAAUAAGUUAGAUAAGUCAAAACAAUAUAAAAUUGAUAUAGACAUAAUUUUUUUUUUAAAGCAUCAAAUAAUGCUUUGAUUUCUUUACUCCAUUUUAGUUUGUCUUUACAAGUCAAAUGUGUAAGUGGUGCUACGACUUAAAAAAAUUCGUGAUUAAGAUCCAAUAGUAAUUGGCAAAGCCCAAAAACAUUGCACGUCUCUUAUUGUUCUUCAAAUCUUUCAAUUCAUGAUGGUUUGGACUUUCUUCAGAUCCAUUAUUAGCUUUUCAUUGGAAAUGAUGUAUCCUAGAAAGUCAACUUCAGUAGUGUAGAAUACAUACUUUACUAACUUCGCAUAUAAUCUUUCUUCUUUAAGUUUUUGUAAUACACAACAAAUAUGAACUUCAUGCACUUUUGUGUUUUUAGAGUAGAUUAAGAUGUUGUUCAAAUAAAAAAUAAUAAAAUUAUCAAAAAAUUCACAAAAGACAUCAUUUAUUAAAUGUUGAAAAGCAGCUAGUGUAUUUGUGAGUCCAAAAGGCAUGACAUUAUAUUCAAAAUAUCCAUAUCUAAUUCAAAAUAUAAUUUUUCAUUCAUCUCUUUCUUUAAUGUAUAUCAAAUUAUAUGCUUUUAUUGAAAAAAAAAUAAAAAUAAAUUACAAGCCAUAAUACUUAGCAUCAACAAGGUUGCACACAAAAUGAAGUGUGGAAUAAGAUGACUCUAACUUCUAACAUUCUUUACUUAUAGCUAGAGUUUACAUCAAUUGUAGAUGAACUUAAUCAUCUUCAUCAUUUUUUCUUAUAUUGAAGUAAAUCCUAGAUUCUUCUUAUCCUAACUACUAUCUAAAAACCUUAGCCACCACUAUAAUAAAAUCUUAUAAUCCUUUAUUAUCUUUUCUUUAUUAAAAAUUGUAGAAUAGAUAUUAGUUCGUUUCUAUAAGAUAUUAGUAAAAUAGAUUAAUAGUCCAUAGAAUAGUCAGUUCAAGAAGACGGAUGAUUGAUUUAGUUAUUCAAAGUGAUUAAUUAUAGGAUUACGGUUAGGAUCUAGAAAUCAAGAGAAAUUAUAUAGGACUUGUAAAAGUUUGUCAGGGAGCCAGACUGUGAUAGUCAUGAGCCGGGGUAAGCUUGGUGCUACCUCUUUGUUUCUUUUUGUUUUCUUUGUUGUUGAAGAGUAAUGGAUAGUUUUUGAAUACUGAGAAGUGAGUCUAUGGAAUAAAUCAAGAAUUGAUUUAUGAGUUAUUAAUUAUGUAAUUGGAAUAUUGAGUGAUUGAAUUAUAUAAGGAGUUAUUUAAGGAUAAUGAUUAUUGUUUAUUGAGAGCUGUGUGUGUUUCAAUAGAAGAAGUUGGUGAUUACAAAAAUUCUGUGAAUCCAAAUUGGUUGGAGUGAAGUUUGUUAUUCUUGGUGUUGGAUGGAAUUUAUGAGUUUUGAGCAGUCUUUUAAGAGUGCAAGGUUGUACACUAUUAUUAUCAGUUGAUGAAGGAGUAUUGUUAUUGGGAGAAAGUGUUGUAGUAUUUUUAGGUAUUUUAGUGGAUCAGAAUACGAUUAAUUGUGUGGCCCUAACAAAUAAAACUCAUACAUUUAGUCUUUUCUUGUAUUCAAAUUCUCCUAUAUAAGUUUAUUCUGAAAGGAAUUGUAGAAUAAGUAAAAUGACAAUCACAACAACUUACUAUGAUUUAAGUCUAUGUAGUGGCAACUAUAUAAGAUCUUGCUAAUCUUCAAUACUCCUACUGUCAUGGACAUACAUUGGAAGAUUCUUCGAAUAUUCUUCUAGAAUAUUCUCUAAAGAUUCUUUUAGAAGGUUCUAGAAGAUUCUUAGAAUAUUCUCUAAAGAUUCUCUUAGAAGAUUCUAGAAUAUUCUUAGAAGGUUCUAGAAUAUUCUUAGAAGGUUCUAGAAUAUUCUGAUAGAUUCUAGGAAGUUGCUCGAGAAGUUUCCUAAUUAGUAGAAGUUGUUGGAGAAGCGUCCUAGUUAGCGGAAGUAGCUCGAGAAGCUUCCUAUUCAGUAGUAUAUAUAGGAGUCGAGGCUGAAGGGUUCUUCAGUCUCGACAACACAUCUCUUGGAGUUCUAGCUCACCUUUCUAGUGUUGUUCUUGUACUCAUCUGUUUAAUCUAGUUCUGCCACUUCUUCUUGAACUUCUUGUUAGAUUUCAAGUCUGUAUUUUGUGUCCGUGACAGUUUGUCGAGACUACAUUUUCACUGGUAUCAGAGCUAGUUCCUUCUUGUUAGAGAGUACAUUACCCCUCUUCUUGAAGGUGUGCUAGUGUUUUAGAGGUUGCGGAUUACCCUCCUCUAAACUGAUAUCUCUUCUUUCUCAAUAUUGGAGCCUUAUUCUUCUUGGAGAGAGUGGAUUACCCCUCAUCUUGGAGUCUUAAGGCAUUUUAGAGGUUGCGGAGUACUCUCCUCUGAACCAAUAUUGUCCUCUUGUCAAAACUCUUUUUUCUUCUUUCUGAAGGUUAGCCGAAGGUUAAGACGUUAAAAUGGCUGAAAGUUUGGAAUCCAAACUAGACGCCAUCAUAAAUGCUCUUGCCUCGUUGUCACAUAGGACAACAGAGAUCGAAGGAGUCAUGGUAGGACUCCAUAACAAUGGAGCAUCUGGGAUAGCGCCAUCUAAAGCAUAUCAGCCUCAAACUUCUGCGCCAGAAGAAGCAGUUCUACCUCCAUUUCAACAAGAUCGAGUAGUCCUACAACGAAAGGAGCCUCGAGUUAGUCUUCCGGAUAAGUUUGAUAGAACUCGUUCCAAGUUUCGAGGUUUUGUCAACCAAAUCAGGUUGAUAACAAUUUUACAGCCCGAACGUUAUCCGACGGAGGAAGCGCGUGUUGGGCUUGUUGGAACCUUGCUUAUAGCACAAGCUCUGUCUUGGUUUACUCCCUUGUUUGAGAAGCGAUCGCCAAUCCUGAGCAACUUUGAAACGUUCUUGGAGGCGUUUGCAGAAGCAUUUGGCGAGCAUGAUAAAGUUCGAUGGGCUACAACAAAGAUCCGAUCGCUACGACAAGGAACACGCUCUGCAUCAGUCUAUGCCUCGGAUUUCAGACAAUUGGCAAGUGACAUUAAUUGAGGUGAAGAGGCGUUGGUGAGUCAGUUUUAUUGGGGCUUGAAGGAUGAUGUGAAGGACUUGCUGUUAUCUCUUCCUGAUCCUCAAACGCUCAAUGAAGCUAUUAGCUAAGCUAUAAAGUGUGACAACUGCCUAUUCCAGCGUCGCCAAGAUCAACGUCCAAGACACCAAAUGACUCGUUACGACGUGACUAUGUCUGCAAAUAUCUUAAACUCACAUUCGGAGGCAACAGACAUGCAAAUCGACACGACGCGUGUCCGAUCUCUUACUCCAACAGAGAAGAAACGACGUAUGGAUGAAGGGUUAUGUUUGUACUGUGGAGAAGAAGGCCACAAGGUUGGAAAUUGCCCAAAGAAGCAAAAUUGGCACCCUGUCAAGACUAGAAGUGCGAUGAUUCCAGAAAACGAUGACGCCCAGCCACAGUAGGAACCGUGCGGCUGGACAAUCUAAUAUCACGACAACAAUCAGGUUCCUCCUUCUUUGUCCAACAUGCCCGUUGUUUUACAAUUCCUUUGUUUUUAGGCCCUCAAAAACAAAAAACUUUAGCUUUAUUGGAUUCGGAGGCAUCUACUUGUUUUUAGAUGAAGAGUUUGUUAAACGCCACAAGAUCCGUUUAGUACAGAAGUCCAAAUCUAUUCACGUAGAGGUGAUAGAUGGACGACCCUUAUUGUCAGGCAACGUUACCCACGAAUCAGAACCUAUAGAAGUGGUGUUUAAGGACCAUAGUAGUCACGUUAUUUUUAAUAUUAUUAGAACCCCAUCAAGCCUUGUUAUCCUUGGUCUUUCUUGGUUAGAAGAUCAUAAUCCGUCCAUUGAUUGGAGGCUACGAAGGAUAACAUUUCCUGAAAAAAAUAAUAAUAAACCUGUUGGUAGAACCUACAUGAAGAAAUCCAUGUUUAUUGGAGCGAGAGCGUUCCUAAGAUCGUCCAAGGAAGGCACACCAUUUGUCAUUUAUGCAGCUCCAACUAGCGGCGAGAAUAUCUCAACAUCGAAUAUACCAGAGCAAUAUAGGGAUUUUGAAGACGUGUUUCAGAAGAAGAACGCCGAUAUACUGCUGGAACAUCGACCAUAUGAUUGCGCCAUAGACUUAGAGGAAGGAGCGCAACCACCUUUUGGUCCAAUAUACAACCUAUCGCAGACGGAGUUGGCAGAAUUGCGGAAGUACAUCGAUGAGAAUCUAGCCAAGAAUUUUAUUCGACAUUCAAAGUCACCAGCUGGAGCACCAAUCCUAUUCGUGAAGAAAAAAGAUGGCUCACUGCGGAUGUGCGUGGACUACCGAGGACUCAACAAGGUGACCAAGAAAAAUCGCUAUCCCUUACCUUUGAUCUCCGGCCUCUUAGAUCAACUUGGACGUGCAAGGAUUUUUACAAAGAUUGAUUUAAGAGGAGCCUACAAUCUUGUGCGAAUCAAAGAAGGAGAUGAAUGGAAGACAGCCUUUCGUACAAGGUAUGGCCAUUUUGAGUACAAUGUCAUGCCUUUUGGUCUUACCAAUGCUCCAGCGGUCUUUCAGCAUAUGAUGAACGACAUCUUUCGGGAGUACCUCGAUGACUUUGUUGUCAUCUAUCUGGAUGAUAUUUUGAUAUUUUUCAAGAAUGAAGAAGAACAUGAGAAGCACGUUUGUUUGGUUCUUGAAAAACUACGCGAACGAGGACUCUACGCCAAGUUGGAGAAGUGUCAAUUUCACCAGAAUGAGAUGGAAUUUUUGGGCUUCAUUGCGACUAUAGAGGGCUUGAAGAUGGAUCCAAAAAAGGUAGAAGCAAUUAUAUCUUGGAAAGUUCCGAAGACGGUUAGAGAUGUUCAGUGUUUUCUUGGAUUUGCUAACUUCUAUCGGAUCUUCAUCAAGAAUUAUUCUCAAGUUGCUGCACCACUCAUGCAUCUAACAAGCAAAGACAAGCUCGAAUGGGGAUCACAAGCAGCAAAAGCAUUUCAAGAUCUUAAGACGGCAUUCACUACGGCUCCAAUCUUGGUACACCCUGACUUUGCAAAGGCUUUCUAUUUAGAGACCGAUGCUUCAGAUUUUGCUUUGAGAGCUGUGCUUUCACAGAUGGGCAUAGACAAGAAUCUUCACCCAGUUGCGUUCUAUUCACGGAAGUUCUCUGCUACUGAGAUCAACUACGAGAUCCACGACAAAGAGCUGCUUGCUAUAGUGGAUGCCUUCCAAGAGUGGCGUCACUUCCUCGAAGGAGCUGCACAUCCAGUGACUGUUUAUACGGACCACAAGAAUUUAGAGUACUUCAUGACAGCUCAAAUUUUGAAUCGUCGUCAAGCUCGAUGGAAUAUGUCUCUAUCACGAUUUGACUUUAUUAUCAGCUACCGCCCUAGAAAACAGCAAGGAUUAUCUGACGCAUUAUCGAGGAGAUCGUAUCUUGCGCCAAAGGCUGGAGAAGCAGUGUUUGAUCAACAAUGUACAACAUUGUUGAAACCAGAAAAAUUCAGGAUUUUUGCUACUGUUGCAACUAUCGAUGACGGCUUCCUCAGCGAGGUACGUACUGUGACCAUUGAGGAUUCUAUAGCUCUUGACAUCAAACAACGUGUCGAUAAUGACAAGUUUAAGGUGGAGGGAGAUCUUCUGUAUUUUGAGGAGCGGUUGUAUAUCCCGAAAGGACCAACUCGACUCCGAGUACUUCAAUCUCGCCACGACUUUCCAGCUGCGGGACAUUUUGGAUUCAACAAGACUUUGGAGCUCAUUUCACGAGAUUUUUGGUGGCCCCAAAUGUGGAAGGAUGUGAAGGAAUUUGUCCUUUCUUGUGAUGUUUGUUCAAGAUCCAAGAUCCCUCGACAUCGUCCGUACGGACUUCUCCAGCCAUUGCCUAUUCCGCACCGACCAUGGUCUUCAAUUUCUAUGGACUUCAUUACGGACCUACCGCCAUCGAAUUCAUUUGACAGCAUCUUUGUUGUGGUGGAUCGAUUUACAAAGAUGGCGCAUUUCGUGCCUUGCAAGAAAACAUCGUCAAGUGAAGACACCGCAAGACUCUUUCUUGAUAACAUAUAUCGUUAUCAUGGCCUACCAGAUGAUAUCGUGUCGGAUCGAGGUACUCAGUUUGUAUCCAAGUUUUGGAGGUCCCUCUUUGAGAUAUUGAAGGUAGAUAUUAAGCUCUCUUCGGCUUUUCAUCCUCAAACUGACGGUCAAACGGAGCGGGUGAAUCAAGUUUUGGAGCAAUAUUUACGAUGCAGCAUCAACUAUCAACAAGAUGAUUGGACUGCAUAUCUACCGCUUGCUGAGUUCGCAUACAACAACACUCUUCAUGCGUCAACUCAACAAACACCAUUCUUCUCCAACUACGGAUACCACCCCAAGCUCGAUUUAUUGAGUUCUUCAGCAAAUAACAACCCAGCAGCUGAAGGAUUUGUGAAGCAACUAUUGGAGCUUCAAGCGACGUUGAAGCUUCAAUUGCAAUCUACCCAAGAGAGUUACAAGGCAUCUGCAGAUAAAUAUCGAAAUGAGGCGCCUACUUUUAAAGUUGGAAGUAAAGUAUGGCUUCUUCGACGGAAUAUCAAGACCAAGCGGCCAUGUGACAAAUUGGACUAUCGGAGAUUAGGGCCAUUUGUUAUCGAGAAGCAGAUCAAUCCGGUGGCAUAUCGUCUGGAGUUACCAGCUACUAUGAAGGUACAUCCAGUCUUUCACGUGUCUUUGUUGGAACCUUAUCGAGAGUCAGCUUUUCCCCAAAGAGUACAAAGUCCGCCACUAAGUAUCGAAAUUGAAAACCAUGAGGAAUACGAGGUGGAAAAGGUACUAGAUUCACGGCGUAAUAGGAGAAAAUUGGAGUAUUUAGUGCAUUGGAGUGGAUACGACAUCAAUGAACGAACGUGGGAGCGUGUCGAAAAUCUUGCCAAUGCACCAAAAAAGAUACAAGAAUUUCAUCAACGAUAUCCUCAUAAACCUAAGCCGAUUCAACGAUAGCUUCUUGCUGAAGCUUGCUCAUCAAGUAGCAUAAAAAGGGGGGAGGGCACCUCCAAAACCCAUAGUUCGAUAGUGUAGAACUUUGUUAGCAACUAUAGUUUGCUCUCAUCAUUUUAGCCUUUGGACAUGGAUAGUCAAGAUACUACACUUGUUAUAUCAUCUCAAGCGACUAGCUCACAAAGACGACCGCUAGAUGAAGAACCGCCUGCACCACGACGACGUCGGAGGAUACCGAGCAACAGAUCGCUAGUAAUUAUAUUUGAGGUCGAGCCUGCCUACGACGGUUAGCCAGAAGGUGUGUUUGGAGGACAGUUUCACAAUGAAGACACAGAAGUCCACGCUUGGUCAGAGGUUGAAGGUGUUGGUCACUACCGUUGGCUCCAAGGGCCGAUGAAUCAUUUGCCUCGCGAACAACAAUUGGAAUUCAUAGCGGAUGUGAUGCGACAGAUUUUCAUUUUCUUGCGUUGGUAUUGACUGAUAACAACAUUGCUUCUCGGAGACCUCGAAGUUAGAAGAGGAGGUGAUGUCAUGGACAUACAUUGGAAGAUUCUUCGAAUAUUCUUCUAGAAUAUUCUCUAAAGAUUCUCUAAAGAUUCCUUUAGAAGGUUCUAGAAGAUUCUUAGAAUAUUCCCUAAAGAUUCUCUUAGAAGGUUCUAGAAUAUUCUUAGAAGGUUCUAGAAUAUUCUGAUAGAUUCUAGGAAGUUGCUCGAGAAGUUUCCUAAUUAGUAGAAGUUGUUGGAGAAGCGUCCUAGUUAGCGGAAGUAGCUCGAGAAGCUUCCUAUUCAGUAGUAUAUAUAAGAGUCGAGGCUGAAGGGUUCUUCAGUCUCGACAACACAUCUCUUGGAGUUCUAGCUCAUCUUUCUAGUGUUGUUCUUGUACUCAUCUGUUUAAUCUAGUUCUGCCACUUCUUCUUGAACUUCUUGUUAGAUUUCAAGUCUGUAUUUUGUGUCCGUGACACCUACUUUGCUAAUUAUCAAAAGGCUUUCUAGCCUAAUGCCUCUAUCAACUCAUAGAGUCUAUCUUUUAUUAGUGUUUUUAUAAGCAAAUCAACAAGCAUGUCUUUUGUAGUAUAAUACUUCAUACCUAUUACUCCAUCUUUAAUUUUUUCUCGUAUAAAAUGAUAUUGAACAUCAAUAUGCUUAAUUCUUCAAUGGUACUUUGGAUUCUUAGCAAAUGCAAGACAUCCUUGAUUGUCACAUGUUAUUGGAGUUGAUUCCAAUUAUACUAAUCUAAUGUCUUUUAAAAAUUAUCUUAUAAAACAUGUUUUUAUUGUACAAUGACUUGCUGCCAUGUACUCAGUUUUCAUGGUUAAUCUUACAAUGGUUGGUUAUUUUUUGUAAUUUCAUGAAAUAUCUCCCACUCUAAUAAAGAACACGUAUCUUAUUGUAGAUCUUCUAUCAUUUGUAUCUCUAGUCCAAUCUGCAUUACAAUAUCCUUGCAAAUCAAUGUUAUCACCACCAAGGCACAAUUUGAAGUUCUUUAUACCUUUUAAGUACCUCAAUAUCUUUUUUAUCAUUGCCAAAUGCAAAGGUCCUACCUUAGACAUGUGUUGGCUCACAAUACUCAUACUAAAUGUAAGUUCCUCUUUUGUAGCCACCAUUACAUACAUAAGUGAGCCUAUUGCUGACUUAUAUAAAAUACUUUGUAUCUCACCUUCAACUUGUACAUAUUCUUCAUCUAUGAGCUUCAUCAAUUUUAAGUUGGCUUCCAAAGGUGUUCCAAUAGGCUUAUACUCCUCCAUAUUGAAUCAUUUCAAUACUUCUUUAAUGUACUUGAUUUGACUCAUUGUAAUAGUCUUAUUGCCACGAUCUCUUACAAACUCCACUCCUAAGUAAUAGUGGAGCUUUCUCAAAUCACUCAUCUCAUAGUCUUUUUCCAAUAUGGCCUUAAUUCAAUCUAUCUUUUCCAUAUUAUUAGCCAAGAUAAUCAGAUCAUCAACAUAGAGGAUUAUAAUCAACAAAAACACUUUAGAUUAUAUCACAUAUAAUGAAUGAUCAGCCUCACUCCUUACAAAUCUCUUACUGACAAAAAAUGUAUCAAUACAUUAGUACUAUGCUCUUGGUGAUUGUUUUAAUCCAUACAAAGAUUUCUUCAACUUGUAUAUAAGGUGUUAUUUGUCUUGUUGUACAAGUCCUUGAAAAUUGAUCCAUGUAGAUGUUUUCUUACAAUUUUUCAUUCAAAAAGGCCAUUUUUACAUCUAUUUGGUGCAUUUUUAAGUCUUUUUCUCUUUAAUUGCUACAAUGGUCCUAAUAAUAGUAAAUUUGGUAACAAAUAUAUAAAUCUCAUUGAAGUCAAUUCCAACAACUUAUAAAUACCCUUUGACAAUUAAUCUUACCUUGUGCCUCACCAUCAUACCUAUUGCAUUUCUUUUAGUCUUAAAAAUCCACUUAUAACCAAUAUUAGUUUGAUUUGCUAAAAGAGAUGUCAAUUUCUAUGUAUCAUUAUUUAUAUGAGAUUAAUACUCUUCUUUCAUAGCCUUUUUUCACUUCAUUAUAUUUUUGAUCUUUAUAACAUUACACAUAGACAACGGAUCAGCAAAAAAAGCAACAUUUGCAUGUUCUUUACUUAUUUGAAGAAAAACGUGGUUCUUCUAAAAUUUGCUACCAGAUCUUUUUUUUCUUAAGAGAUAUCUUCUUUUAUUUAAAGAAGAUUCAGUUUUUUAUACUUUAAGUUCUCUUUUAAGCUUCUUCUCUCUUAAAGCUUGUCUUUUUUUACUUAAAGAUUGAUAUUCUUCAUCAUUAUUAUCAUCAUAAUCUUCAAAAUCUUUAUUGCUAAUCCUUAGAAUUUGCAAGGCCUUUUUUUUCAUCUUUUUUGCCUCUUCAUCUUCAUUCACACCUUUAUCAUCUUCAUUCUCUUCAUCUUCUUCUUUUCUUACUAGAAUUAGAUAUGUAUCUACAAAUACAUCAUUAUUCUUACUUGAAUACAUUUUCAAGUAUUCAUAAGCACUUUUUUGCUCUAAAAAUUCAACAUUACAACUUUUGAUGAUCUUUUUGGUAUCCAAAUACAUUAGCCUAUAUGCCUUGGUACCUUCACAAUAUCCUAAGAAAAUAUACUUUGUAUCUUUUGUAUCAAGUUUGGACCUCAUACAAUCGAUUAUCUUUCCAUAUGCAAUGCAUCUAAAGGUCUUCAUAUGUGAAAUAUAAGGUGGUUUCUUACUCUAAGCUUCUUAUAGUGUCAUUGAUGUAAAAGCACUUAUUAGAUACUUAUUAUUUGUAUAUACUAUAUUUACUACAGCUUCUAUCCAAAAUUCAUAAUGAAGAUUUUGAGCAUGAAACAUGAUUUUUACUAUCUCUUUAAUGGUUCUAUUUGCCUUUUCAACAAUACCAUUUUUUUGUUGAAUAUAUGGAAUAUUUUUUGUAUAGCAAUUCCUUCAUUCUUCAAAUAAACAUCAAAUUACUUAGACAUGUACUUACCUCUAUUGUCCAUAUCCACACUUUGAUCUUAUAUUCACUUUGUUUUUCAACAAGUGCUUUAAAUUCUUAAACUUCCAAAAGUACUAAAUUUAUUUUUCAACAAGUGCUUUAAAUUCUUAAACUUCCAAAAGCACUAAAUUUAUUUUUCAACAAGUACUUUAAAUUAUUUAAACUUCAAAAAGCACUCACUCUUUGCUUUAAGAAUGUAAAUUCAAAUCUUUUUUGAAAAAUCAUCAAUAAAAAUAAAAAAAUACCUUGCUCUUUCAAUACUAGUGUUCUUCAUAGAUCCACAUACAUCAAUAUGGACGAUCUCCAAAAACUUUGUAGCACAUAAUUUUAUACCACUUGAAAAUGAGAUCUUUUGUUGUUUAUCUUGUAUGCAUCCUUCAUAUCCAAGUUGUAUUGCAUUUUGGCUUAUUUUUCCAAGAUCUAAUCCACUUAUCGUAGACUUAAGCUUUGCAAUGUUCUCCACAUUGUGAAAGCAAGAGUCUACUUUGGAUAGACACAAGGUCCUUCUUUGCAUUCAAGUUGGGUCCAGUAUGCACAAAAUCUUCUUAAAUUUUCCUUUGAGUACUUACAAAACUAUAUUUGUAAUAAACCAACAAACUUGAAGUUUGGAAAUUCAUAUCCCAAGAUCUAUCUAUUCAAAUAAGUUCAAAAUUUAGAAGUACAAAACUUACACCUUUGAUCAUUAUCAUACAAAUUUUCAGCUAAAAAAUUAUUAUUGAUCAUCUGAUAUCACCAAAUCUUUAACAAGUAUUUUUGAAAGUCAAAACCAAAUCGGAAACUUAAAAAUUCAUGUCCCAAGAUCCAGCUAUUCAAAUAAGCUCAAAAUUUAAGAGUACAAAACUUAUACCUUUGAUCAUCAUUAUAUAAAUUUUUAGCUAUAAAUUCGUUGCCAAUCGAUUGAUAUCACCAAAUCCUUAUCAUGUACUUUUGAAAGUCAAAACCUUAGAUACUCAAGAAUAUAUUUUUCUAUUUCUCUCAAGUCAAAGUCUCAAUUGAUAUGAGAUUUUAGACAUAAGCUUUUUAUAUCAUAAGUAACAUAUAUACAAAAAAUGAGCUUCAAAUUCGUCUUGAAGCUCAAGUUCUAGCUUAAAACCAAAACCCUCUAUUUCUUUGAUUUCUUCAAAACCCUGGUUUUAGUUUGCUAGUUUUAACCAACCAUAUCUCACUCAUUUUAGAUUCAAUUCUAUCAAUCCUUAAAUGUAAAAUUUUCAACUUAAAGUCUAGUUUUUAAUUCAAUUAUUGGAUUUUUUACUAGUAUCUUCAAAUUCUUAAUAUAUAUGGAAAGAUACAUUAGAUAUUAAAUUAGUAGCCUAAGUUUAAAAUAAUCAUAUCUUUCUCGUCUAAGCUCUAAUUCAUAUGUUUUUUCUACCUAAACUCAUAUGAAGAAGCUCCUCUCUUUGAAUACUUCUUCUUUAUAUGCCAAAAAAGAAUCUCUUCUUUACUUCUGAGCUCGCCAAAGAAAUUGCAACCAAGGUCUUCAAAGUCCAAGUCAAAAGCUAAUAGUUUAAAGUUAAACAAACACCAAAUCUAAUCUUUUAAGUUAGCACCAUUAAUAGCAGCCGACUAAUGCUAUCCAAAACCCUAUUUAUCCUUAAUAAAAACCUAAAUACAACCUCAAAGUCAAAAUUCUUCAUACAUUUAUCAAUAUAACUCUGAAUCUACUAAAAUCAAAGAUUAAAAAGAAAGUAAAAAGAAUAAAAGAAGUUUUCAAGGCUUAACCAAAGAUAAAGUUAAAGUAAAAGAUAAACUAAAAUUUAGCCAAAAUUUCAAAAAAAAAAAAAAAAGAAGAAAGUAGAAAAAAAAUUUCAAAUUUAUAGAAAAAUUAGAUUGGUAAGACGAAAAAAGAACUUAAUAAAAGUUCAAAGAAAAUUAAGUCAAGCAAGGUUUCCAUACAUGAAUAUAUUUAUAUCACAACAAUGUUCAAAUGGCCAAGGCAAUGAUGCCAUAUAUUCAACUUAUCUUGGUUGAUGUAAACUCAGCUAAAAUACUGAAUCUUCACUUUGAGACUUUUUUUCUUUCUUCUUGAUUACUUCAUGGUUAAAUCUUGCUAUGACAUAAUCCAUUGUGAGUUCUUUCAUUUUAAUAGAUUCUAAAGCCACAACAAAGUAGUAGUAGGAUUCCAGCAAGAUCAUGAGUAGAGUCUUAACAAUACUUGCUUCUUCUAAAGGCAUAUCAACAAUUGGAAGCUGAUUUGCAAGUACCUUCACCUUAUUGAUAUGUGCCAUGAGAUCUUUAUCUUCUUCCAUCUUAUAUGUGAAGAACUUCCUCUCUGUGUAGAUGAUGUUAGAUAAGUUCUUGCUCUAAUAGAUGUUGCAAAGAGUCUUCCAUGCUUCUGCUGGUCUUUUGUAAAAGAUAAUAUGGAAGAAGUUGACUUCAUUCAUAUUACAUGCAAUCAAUCCAAAGGCCUUCUUUUUAUGAUUUUUGUAGUCCUUUUUCUCUUUUGUAUCAGCAUGCAUACUUGAAGGCUCUUUACUUUCAUCUACAAUAUCUCAUAUGUCCAAAGAAGUAAUAAAAGCUCCAUUUUGAUCUUCCAAUAGUAAAAAUUCUUACUUCUAAACUUUUCAAUUACUCUUAAGCCUUCAUCCUUACUUGAAGCCAUGUUUAAAGAAGAGAUGUAUCAAAAAAGAUCAAAAGAAAUAUUCCUAAAGCUCUCAAAAUCAGCAGAGAGUUGCUGCUUUAAAAUCUCAAAAUGCCUUCUUUGUGAAUAAAUUAGUAUUUUUAUUCUCAAAAUACUCUCAACUUCACUUCUAUGACCUCUCGCAAGUUCAAUGAUCAAUUUAAAGGUGUCAAACUAUAUUUUUCACUCUUCUAUUACUCUUUUAUACUCACAAAUUACCUCUAGAUAUCAGAAGAGGUCUUUUAAGCACCUUAAUCUCUUUUAAUACAUGAAACUACAAAGUUGGUCCAUUAAGAAUCUUAAUCAAUAAAAAAAUAUAAUACUAAUAUUCUAUAACAUUACUAUAAGGUGCAAAUCAAAUCUUGAAUUCAAGAUGUACUUAACAACAAGUAAGAGCAAACAAAGAUCUAAAUCUAGAUUUAAAUCUAAAAGUUAGGAAUUUCAAAAUCAAAAUCAUCAGCAACAACAAUAUGAUCUACUCCACACAAUAACAAAAACUUCAUAUAACUUCAAAGAAACUCAUAAACAAAUAUAAAUGGAUACAUAACCUUUUAAUAAAAGAGAAAUUAGAAGCCACAACUUUUAGCAUCAACAGGAUUGUACACAAAAUAAAGUGUGGGAUAAGAUGACUUUCACUUCCAAUAUUUUUUACUUAAAACUAGAGUUUACAUCAAUUAUAGAUGAACUUAAUUAUUUUCAUCCUUCUUUUUUAUAUCCAACUAAAUUUUAGAUUCAUCUAAUCUUAGCCGCUACUUAAAAAUCCUAAUUGCUACUAUGGUAACAUCUUUUAAACUUUUCUUAGCUUUUGACUAUUAGCAAUUUAUUAUAAUUUAAUUCUAUAUAGUAGCAACUAUACAAGAUAUUCAAUACUUCCUCAUAAAUCUAUUUUUAUAUAGAUCUUUGUUUAAUUCAAUUAAUCAAGAAGUAGUAAAAUCAAAGUUAUAUAAUAUCUAUUCUUGAUGGUAAUCUUAUUGAAUCUCCAAUGAUUUACACACAUCCAUAAAGAUCCAUCUUUUUUCUUCACAAAUAAGAUAGGAACCUUAGCAAGAGAUUUAGAGUGACAUAUCAAAUUCUUAGGUAAUUUUUCAUCAAUAUAUUCUUUAAGUGUAGCCAAUUCAUUUUAUGAUAGGCUAUAGAUUGGUCCAAAUGUUGGUUGAGUUCUUUUAUAAAGAUCAAUGGAACAAUCAUAAGAACAAUACUCUAAGAAUAAUACUCUAAGAAUAUAUCUAUAUUCUUUUUUUCAAAAAUGUCUUAAAAAUCUAAAUACAUACUAGAAAUACCACUUAACAUCUUUUUACCAUCAAAAAUGGACAUUGUAUAUAAAACAAAAGAUAACUAUUCUUUUGUGGCAUGUAAAAAAGCUCUUACACCUACCAAUAAAGAUUUGGAUGUAAUAAACUUAUGUAUUUCUACUUAAUUUAGGAGAUUUUGGAUUAAACUAUCAAAAAAAUUAAGAUUACAAGAAAUCCAAUCUAUUUAAAGAUUAUACUUUUUUAACCAAGAUAAUCCUAAAAUAAUUGAUUUAGAUGGAGAAUUUAUUAUAAUAAAUAUUAUUUUGUCAUUAUGAUCUUUAAUUGCUACAUCUAAAAAAAUAGUCUCAUGCAUAACAUCUCUAGAAGAUAUCAAAUGACCAUCUAUAACUUCUACAUGUAUAGCUUUAAUUUUUUUAAUUAAUAAUAUCUCUUAUUUUUUGAUAAAAUCUUUGUCUAUAUAAUAGGCUGAGGCUCAUAAAUCUAAAAAAGCUAAGACUUUGUAAUUUUUGGGUCCUAAAUAAACUUCUAUUAUAAAACAAGAUGAGAGAUCUAAAGAGAGAAUAGGACCUUUAUUAGGAAUUAUGGAAGAUUUUAGCCAAACGAUAUCAUGAUGUAAUACAAAUAUAUGAUGAAAAUAUAAUCAAAAAUAAAUUUUUAAUUAAUAUCUAAUUAUCUUCAUUCAAUAAUUAUUCAAGAUAUUUAAACAUGGCUUUUAUAAAAGACUCUUAUUUUAUUCUCUUAUCUUAAUAUUUAGUAAGUUAAAGAUUAGUUAGUAAUUUUACCUUUCAAACUAUAGAGACUCUUUUACUACCUUAAGAAGACCAUAAAUUGAUAAAAUCAAGUUAGAAGAAAUAAAGAAUUAGCAAAGUUGAUACUAAGAUUAAGUUGAAGAUAGGUUUGGACUAAAAAAUCCCUAGGAUGGGUUAGAUUGAUUCCAAAGGAUCGACUAUUUGGGAGACAAGGUCGAAAUUAAACCUACAGCCACUAAAAUAACAACCUAGGAUUAAAUAGGGUUUUAUUUGAAGAUCAAAGACUAGGAUUUGAGAGCUAGCUUAAAGCUUAUUUCAAAGAUAUAAGGCUUAUUUUUGUAGGAUUUUUUUAGACUUAGUAAUUAUUAUUCAAAGUCAAGAUUUAUAUUGGUAACUUGGAAUUUAUAUAAUACAAUUAGGACUAGCACUUUCAACUAGUUUAUAAAAUUGAUAUCACAUCUAUAGUUCUAAACUUAAUUAAUUGGAUGUGCUAAGUGUAUGUAAAAAAUUUUAAUAAUCUAACGGUACAGUUAUGAGAUAUGUAGAUUUUGUUACAAGAAGAUAUUAGAAGUUGGCAAUUUGAGGUUGGAUGGGAUUUCUAUGAUAUUUAAAGAUCUACAAGUUAGAUCAAGGCAAAAUUUUGCAUUGUAUUAGAAGACUUAAAGAUCAAGCUACACACCAAUUUUGAAUUAAAGUUAAUUAUUGAAGAAGGAGGAAUCACUGCUAGAAUAUUUGUAUCAAUUUUUAAGUUGGCGGUCAAAUAACAUCAGUGUGAUUUUUGGACAUUUUCUCACAAUCUGUAUGUUCGAUUGAAAUGAUUUCUUUGUAAACACAUAGAAGACUUAUAGUGGCAUUUGUAUGCAAAAUUUUGCUCUAAGUGAAUAGUUAGAUUAAGAGCUACAGUUUGCUAAAGUUUACUGAUUAGAGUUAAGAUUUAUAAAGAAAAUUCAAAAUUACCUAAUUAUAAAAGUAACAAGGCAAUUGGAGUUUAUAUAUAGUUGAGAUUAUUAAAAAGAGUGUUUUUUAGCACUUUUUAUUAGAUUUAAGCACUUUUAAAUUCAAAUUCAAAUUACAUUCUUCUUAUAAGAGUGAAACAUAUGAAGAUUUUUGGAUACUUAUAAAAUAAAAUCUCACCUUCUAUAGCCAAAUGCCCAAUGUAUUCUCAAAAAAGAAGACAUGUAAUAUAACAAUGAUCUCUAUUAUAGCUGAAAAAACUUGUUUUUUGAUACAUCAUCUUUAAAGGCAAAAAUACUUUUCAUAUUAUAAUUACGUUGUUUCUUUAGACAAUAUUAAGCAGUGUGUUUAGCUUCUCAACAAUAUAAGCAUAAAUCCUCUUGACAUUGUUGAAUCUUUUCUUGUUUUGUAAGAGAUUUAAAACAUACCAUAUGAAUUUGCAUUGAUUCUAGCCUUAAUGAAUAAGUUCCUAAAAACUUAAGAGCUUCCGUCAAUAUUUGAUUUUUUCCUCUUUACCUAAAUCUUUAUUCUUGACGUCUUUCAAAUAAUCAAUUAUUGCAUGUAAUGGCUUGAGUGAUAAAUUAUUCUAAAGAUUUUGCCUUUGAUAUUGUUAGUAACAAAUCUUUGAAAUUAUUCUUUAAUCCAUAUAUCAUGAAUAUAUACAUUUACCUCAAUAAUUACUUAUAUGAUUAGAUAGAAGUAGGUAAAUAUAGAUUAAUUUCAUAGUCUUCUAAAGAAACUUCUUAAAAGCUUCAUAGAUAUAGUGUUGUAUUGUGGUUUGGCUACCAUGUGAAAAUAAUGUGUUUAUAUAUUUAAUACAUAAUAUUAGAUAACAUGGUGAAAGCCAUGUUAGUAGAUUUUUGUUGGUUAUAGGAUGUGAAUAGAUUACUACCCCAAAAAGAGGUUGAUUAAAAGGACUUCUAUUAGAAUUUAUAUAACUUUAUUUUCUUUUGAUAGUGACUAUUAAAGUUGAUCUUAUUAGUAGUAACUUUUAAACAUUUAGAGUCACUCUAAUAAGACACUGGUGAGCCUUGAAGUUUUAUUUUGGUUCUUUUAUUUGGUAAUUAAGGCUUAUAACAUGUAAAUCUUGUAUAAAAAGGAAUUGAAGAGGGAAUUUGGUAGAAAAAAAAGAUAGUUAAGGCAUCCAUAUGACUGAAUGGAGAUGGAUGAUAUAAAUCUCCAUUCCUAUUGGUCAAAAAUCAUAACCAAUGGACUUCAAGAAGGCUACUCGAGGCCAUAUUAGGAAUUAGAGGUAGUCUUUUGGGAGAAUUUGAACAUCAAAGGCUAAGGUCAGCAAGUUUAGAUUUUUGGCUAUGGUUUUGGUACAAAUUUUGAGUUAUUUGGAGUUUUUAUGAAGGAGAUAUAGGUGCUCAAAGUGAAGGUAUCGAUUUUGUACCUACUAUCACUCUUUUGGAUAUAACACAUACGUACAAAAAGCAACAAAGGAUCAGCAACUAGAAUUGAAGAAAGUACUUUUUUGGCUACACUUUAUAUAUUCUAUUUAAUGAAUUCUAAGCUAAAAUAAGAGAGAUAUUAGAUGUUGAAGUCAACACUUAGAAUUUAAGGAGUACUGUAGAAUAGAUAUUAGUUUAUUUUUGUAAGAUAUUGAUAAAAUAGACUAAUAGUCUAUAGAAUAGUCAGUUCAGGAGGAUGGAUGAUUGAUUUAGUUAUUCAAAGUGGUUAUUAUAGGAUUACGAUAAGAAUCUGGAAAUCAAUAGUAAUUAUAUAGGAGUUAUAGAAGUUUGUCAGGGAGUCAGACUGUGAUAGUCAUGAGCCGGGGUAAGCUUGGUGCUACCUCUUUGUUUCUUUUUGUUUUCUUUGUUGUUGAAGAGUAAUGGAUAGUUUUUGAAUACUGAGAAGUGAGUCUAUGGAAUAAAUCAGAAAUUGAUUUAUGAGUUAUUGAUUAUGUAAUUGGAGUAUUGAGUGAUUGAAUUAUGUGAGGAGUUUUUCGAGGAUUAUCAUUGUUGUUUAUUGAGAGCUGUGUAUGUUUCAACAGAGGAAGUUGGUGAUUACAAAAAUUUUGUGAAUCCAGAUUGGUUGGAAUGAAGUCUCUUAUUCCUGGUGUUGGAUGGAAUUUAUGACUUUUGAGCAGUCUUUUAAGAGUGCAAGGUUGCACACUGUUGUUAUCAUUUGAUGAAGGAGCAUUGUUACUAAGAGGAAGCAUUGUAGUGUUUCUAGGUAUUUUAGUGGAUCGGAAUAUGAUUAAUUGUGUGAUCCUAAUAAGUAAAAUUCAUGCACUUAGACUUUCCCUGUAUUCGAAUUUCCCUAUAUAGGUUUAUUUUGAAAGGCAUUGUAGAAUAAGUAAAACAACAAUCACAUUUUGGCGCCACUGCCGGAGAUUGACAAUAGCAUUGAUUAUUAGGAAUUAACUGUCAGAUGAGUAGAUGAGAAAUAGGAAGCAAAUUCAGCAAGAUAUAAUGAAAGAUCAUGGUUAUUAAGAAUAAAAACAUUGCACUAAAGAAAACACGCCAGUCGAAAAAAAGACAAGAGAGAAUAUAAGCAAGAAAAUCGUUGUAAAAUGAGCAAGAAUGUAAGUUAAAAAGGAAGCGUUAACAAAGUUAGAUUAAGCUAUAGUUGCAUGCUUGUCGACAUAUCCAAGCAUAUCGAGAAGCUAACCGAUCUCUAAUAUUUCAGACAUAUAUACCGUUAAGAAAAUUACCAAGAGCACUCGUAGGAAAUUUUGUCACCAGUCCAGCAUAUGUCUUGAGCUCCUUAACUACAAGUGGAGGAAACACAAAAGAAUUGGGUACUCCGUUGAGUACCUUCUCAAUAGCAAAAAUUACCGAUUCUGUAAAAACAGGUUCCAUAGAAUGGCAUAAAUUGCUUGCCAAUAAGGGCCAAUUCAGCAUAUUUCAAAAUCCAUCAUUUUCACCUCCAAUUCAACUAAUAAACUUACUCAAGGAUAAUAAUAGUAAAUUGAAGAAGUUGGAAAGUCUGGAAAAGAUAAUUGGAAAAGGCAAUGGUAAUUUUAAUAAGAAUUUAAGCGGCACAUUAUCAUCUUCAAUGACGACGAGUGGUCUAGCAGUUCCAAUAGCACUCCAAAUAGGUGAUGUGGAUGAUUGCACAACCAACGUGGCUCCAUUACCUACUUUUAGGAGCUUUCCAAGUACGGAUCCUGAUUAACAUUUGUCUCAGUUUCUAAUAGGAUGUAUGAUUGUCGUUUUACUUAUUCUACAAUUCCUUCAAGAAUAAGCCUAUAUAGGAGAAUUCGAACACAGGAAAAGACUAAGCGCAUGAGCUUUACUUAUUAGGAUCACUCAAUUAACUAUAAUCCAAACUACUAAAAUAUCAAGAAAUACUACAAUGCUUUUUUCUAGUAACAAUACUCCUUCAUCAACUAAUAACAACAGUGUGCAACCUCGUACUCUCAAAAGACUGCUCAAAAUUCAUAAUUUCCAUCCAACACCAGGAAUAACAGACUUCACUCCAACCAAUCUGAAUUCACAGAAUUUUUAAAAUCACAGACUUCUUUUGUCGAAACACACACUUACAACUCUCAAUAAACAACAAUCAUAAUCUUCCAUUCAUAAUCAAUCUUUCAAUAACUUCUCAUAUAAUUCAAUCACUCAAUACUCCAAUUACAUAAUCAA